rnacentral:lncRNA from 1 species
UUUCAAAAAAAAUAUCAAAUUUAUUUUUAAAAACUUUUAUUGAUGUGGGUUAGGGAUAGGGUUUUGAGAGAGGAUAGAGUUUUUUUUUUUUUGAUGAGAAAGGGGUGGAGAGAAGGAGGGUGAGAUGGUCACAUGGACUUCGAGAACUUAGUGGGCUUCCGGAAUGAAAUCUCAAUCCGAGCUAGAAGACCGGAAUCAAGUUGAAGGCUAAUGGGUCAUUCCCAUUCCAGUCCGGAAUAGAAAUCUCAAACCGAUUUAUGCGAUCCAAACAAACUUAACCGGAUUUGAUCAAACCGAUUUCCAUUCCAUAUCCAAAAUGGAUGAACCAAACAAGCCCUAAGAGUAUAGUUGCUAACGAGCCAAAUAUAAGCGUACUAGGACCGGCUCGUAUUUGCUUGCUUAUUAAACGAGCCGAAUACGAGCUGAUUCGUUAGAAUAUCAAGCUGAAAAAUUCAAUUCAUAUUCAACUUGUUUAUUAACGAGCCAAACACAAGCGAGCUCGCGAAUAAUAAGUUAGAUUGUCAGCUCUAUUAUUGAGUGAAAAGUUGCAAGAAAAUUAGAAUCUUAACCUAAAGACUAAAAUUUACAAAAUACAAGUUUCUUUACAUUUGGGUUGGCCUAAAAUUCAAAUAGUAGAAAUUUGUAUUAUAUACAUUUGAGAUAUAUCGAGUCAAACACGAGCAAGUUGACACCAGCUCGUAUUCGAAACGUUAAAUAUGCUGACUUCAGGCAUCUGACCAAACACGCUGCCGCUAGACUCUCUUGGGUUGAUUUCCAUCAUGAUUAACAAAUGACAUGGGCUUUAUCCGGCCCAAAUUCAUAUUCCCUGGGUUGGCAACGUUGGUCCAAUAUUUGGGACAAAUAUAUAUAUGUUUUUUUUUUUUUCUUAGAGAUAGGUAGCAUGUUAUCCGUUUCGUUUAUUUUAUUUAAAAAUAAACUUAGCUAAAAAUGUAAAUCAACUAGUAUUCGAAUUUGAAACCUCGGGUACCAACCACCAAACCCUUUACCACUUGCGUUAGGUAUGAUCGGUCACAAAUAUAUAUGUUAUAGACCCAACUUUAUUAAGAUAAUGGGCGAAAAGAGUUGCAUGGAAAGUAUUAUGUUCAGAUAUCAGAAUCCAAUUAUUACAACACCUUUAUAAAAAUAAGGGAAAACUUCAAAAACCCUCCAUGUAGUUUCGUAGUUUCUCACUUUGCUCCCUUGUGGUUUAAAAUGUAUCAAAUUGCCCUCCUGUGGUUUCGUUUUUAUCUUUUUGGUAGCUUUUUCGUUAAUAUUUCAUUAAAUUAUAUACAAAAAACUUCAGAUGCCAAUCUAGAUUUAUCAAAUAUUCACUUUAGUAUCCUUUAAAUUAAUUUUAUCACUGAUUUAAAAAAAAAAAAAUAAUGAAAUUGAUAAGAAAAAGAGAAAAAAGAAACCACAGGGGAGCAAAUUGAUACAUUUUAAGUCACUGGGGGGCAAAGUGAGAAACUACGAAACCAUAUGGAGGGUUUUUAAAGUUUUUCCUAACAAUAAUUUUUUUAAAAAAAUUUUACACUUUCUCAAAACACAAUUCUUUCUAUAAUUCCAAAUAAAGAUUUACCCAUUAUUGGGUUUUCUUUUUUUGACCUUUUGGUUUGACACCCAUGGACCAUCCUAACCGUAGGUCAACAACCUAAUAUCCUAUCAAGCAGAAAAUAAAAUUAUGGAGAUGUUUGGCCUAGAUUCUCAAAAAUAAUUUUAAAGUCAAAAGUUAUUUUUCUUUUAAUAGAGAGUUUGGUAAUCUGUUUUUUAAAUUUUGAUUCUAAUUUUUAAAAUCAGUUUUCUAAUUUUAGAGUCUCAAAAUUAGAAGCAGCUAAUACCUACUUUUUGAAAUCUGAUCCUGAUUUUAGACUCAAAGUUUAAAUUUAAUUCUAAAUUUCAUAUUCAAAUUUUAAAUUUAGAUUUAAAUUUUUAAUUUUUAAAUUUUUAAAUUUUGAAUUUUAAAUGCAAAAUUUAAAUUUAAUAAAAAAAUUAAAAUUCUGAUUCAAUUUUUGAAUUCAGAAUUUUAACUUUUUAAAGUCAAAUUCAAAAUUUAAAUUAAAAUUUUAAAAUUAAAUUUAAUUAAAAAAUUAUUAUUUGUAAAUAGCAAAAAAAUUUUGCCAAACAAUUUUAUAAAGUCACUCUAGAAAAAUCGUUUUUUUGAUAGACUCGUCCAAAUGCUCGACAGCUUUUAAUCAAAAUUAAUAUUUCAAAUCAAAAUUAAUUAUGUAAAAAUUAGUUUUUCAGAAUUAGGCCAAAUAACUCAUGAAACACAGAACUUAUUGUUCCGAAAAAUAGAUACUUGCAAACUGUUCUAAAUAAUGAUGGUCACAAGCUGAGGGCGGCAAUCCAGCUCGCUGUUCGUGAGCCAGCUCGUAUUUGAUUUGAAAUCAGCUCGAGAUCUAAUCGUUCGUUUAAUAAGCGAGCCGAACACGAGCUGUAGUCAGCUGGCUCAUGUUCAGCUCAAUAACAGCUUGAAUACAUAUAUUUUAUAUUAUCUAAUUUUAUAUAUUUUAUAUUUAUAUAUAAAGUUAAAUUAUAUAAAACAUCUAUGUCAAAACCCGAUUUUAAACACUUUGCCACAAUAUAAAAUAAAAAAUAGUCACAUGAAGGUACGGUGUAAACUGAAAUGACAAAAUGAUCAUUUUGCCUCUCACCAUUUUUGGCAACGGGAGAAAAGCCCGAGGGUAUUUUUGGCAUUAAAAAAUAUAUAAUAAUAUUUUAUAAACGGAAUCCUAACGGAUUACUAAUGGCUGGGAGUGAAGUGAAUAUUUUUUAUUUUACAAGGGGACAAAAUGAUAGGGGGCGAAAGUGAAAAAUCGGGUUUUGACAGGAAAUUGUUUUGUAAUUAGCCGUUAAUUUUUAGUCCAAUCUAAAUAUAAAGCCCAACUCAAUUAUAAAAAAGCUCAUUGAUUUGGAAAGUUUCAACUAGUAGAUUAAAAUCUAAUGAGUAAGAUCUCAUAAAUUUAUUUUUUAUAUAUAUUCUUUUUGUUUAACUUAUUGUUCGUGAGCUAGUUCAUGUUCAGCUUGUUAAUAAACAAGCUGACCACGAGUCAAACUUUUUGCCUCGAUACUUUAGGGCUUGUUUGUUUCAACGUAAAUAGACUUGGAGUGGAAGUGGACUUUGAGUUGAAAUGGAGUUGGGAUGAAAAUUAGUUCACUUCUGCUGUUUGUUUCUAACUGUAGAAGUACAGUUCUGCGAGUUCUGUUGUUUGUUUGGUAGGAAGUAGAUGACGUAAAAAGUAUAGCUCUCCACUCCCGGUAUACUUACAUCCAAAGUGAUAUCAUUAUCUAUUUUGUAACUUAUAGUGAAUAAUAAAUUAUAAUAAAUAAAAAUUAAUAUAAUUAUUUAUGUAUAUAAUUAUAUAUAUAUAAUUAUAAAAAAAAAUUUAAAAAAAUUAUAUUAUUUGUUUGCAUAUAAAUUAUGAUAAUGCAACAAAUAAAAUUCUAAAGUUAAAAAAUUAUUAACAUUUAACAAAUUUAUUUUUCAUCAUUUUCUAAAUAUACAAAUUAAAUAAAAAAUAUAUUAAAGCUUACCUAAUCAAAUUUGAUCAUAUUUUAGAAGAGGUAAUUCUAACACAUUAAUCCAUUCUUAUUUUUUUUUCACUUCACCGGAAUUGAUUUCGCCCAUGGGAGGGCGAAGUCAAAUUCAUUAUUUUACGUGAACUGAACUUUCGGGCGUAAUAAAAUUACGGUAAAUCAAACAGCGGAAGUGGUUAGUUUUCACCGAAAUUCAUUUUCCCCGUCCCACUUCCACCCCACUUCUCUCGAAACAAACAGGCCCCUUAAUGAACUAACUUGUGUUCGGCUCGUAAACGAAACGAGUCCAACACAAGUCGGCCCAGCUCUCUCGUAUCCGGCUCGUUAACAACCCUAUCACAAGCUGAAAUGGAUUACUUGGGUGAUAUCAAACUACAAAUAGGUUGGAAAGUGGAAGUCACGAAUUUCCAAACCAGACCAGAAUAUGAGUGGACGCAAGCUCAGCCCAAUUGCUAACCUCUAAAAGUGGUUGAAAUUUGAACCUAAUUUCAUUGCUCAUUUGUUUAAUAUUGACUAAUCUUAGGAUUUGUUCUAGCUUGAGUAAAACGGCCAUAGCGUCCAAGGAAAAAUAAAAAAAUGUUAACUUGUUAAGGCUCAUUUGGUAUUAAAGCCUAUUUAAUACUAAUAAAAAAAUUUGAUUGCUUAUUUAUUUUUAAAUAAAAUUAAAAAAUAUAUCGUAACUAUAUUUUUUUAUUAAAUACCAAAACAAAUAGAAUAUUUUUUCAAAUAUUAGCCAAGUCCUUCAAUUAUUGCUUGGACAUUUACAAUAUUUAAUCACUCGUGUUCAAAUCAACUGAUUAUUAGUUACCAAUAGGUGUGAUAGAGAUAUUUAAUUAAUCCUAUAUUUGAUAGAUUCGUUUGGAAAGAAAUAAAUUAUUUUGCAUAUAUAAUAUAUUAUUACAUGUUUUUUUUUUAAAAAAAUUCUAUAGAAAAGUGUAAUCAAACGACUAGAUGCCAUAAUGAUAAUAAAAAGAAUUGGCCAUGUCUUGUCCUUUAUAUAUGCAAAAUAAUUUAAUAUGAUCAAAAUAUUUGAAACUUUUAAAAAGCAUAUUUUGUAGUAUUUCAAAAUUAUAAUAUAAUCUAUCGAAUCAGUAUAAAAUAAACCGUCUAAAUCAAACGGCAUUUCUAAAAUAGGGUGUCUAAUUUUUAAAUUUAAAAUCAGAGUUAUUGAUUUUAUCUAAAUAGUGAAUAUAAUUUUUUAUUAAAAAUUCAAUCAAUUUAAAUUUUCUUACACCAUUAAACUAGUAAGUAUCCACAGUAAAAGUUAAAAAUUGUCAACUUUAAAAUCUUUUAGAUCAUAAGGUAAAUAAUAUCAAAAAAUAUAAAAUUUUAUUUUAAAAAAAAUUUAAAUACUCUAAAUUAUAUUUAACGAUAUAAAUUAUCAAUUUGAAAGAUUUACAUAAAAAAUAUUAUGAGUACGAAGGGAUCGUACUUAUAAGAGUAUAGUAGUUGGACUCUCUCCUCUCGAUCUCUCUCUAUAUAUAUAAUAUAUAUAGAAUCAUACUACUAUACGAAGCGAUAGCCGUACCUGCAAACAAAUAGGAGCUAUAAAAGGAAAUACAACAAUAUAGUAGCUGAACAUAUAUAUAUAUAUAUAUAUAUAUAUAUAUAUAUAUAUAUAGAACUAUAUUAUAUAUUAAAAAAAUUAUUUUUUCACUCGCAAUCGCACAUCUACACCAUGUGCAGGACGUUUACUGCAGGGCUCCAAAUUGGCAGGAUCUUAUUUGUAUACAAAAAUUAAUAGGACAGUGAUGUAUGUAAGUAUGAAUCAUAAUAGGUUAAUUAGAUUAAUUAGGUUAUUAGAUUAGUUAAUUAGUAUAUUAAUGAUAAUAUAUUUUAUAUAGGGCCUAACAGUAGAUAGCAAUACAGUGUGAAUCAUAAUAGGCGGCGAGUAGUGGAAGAAAGGAUAAUAUUAUUUAUUUUUUAUUUGUAACUAUUCAUUAUUUUUUUAAUUUUAUUCUAUUUAUCUAAACGUUAUUUUUUUUAUUUUCGAUAAUAAUUUAAUUUUUUUCUUAAAUACUAAAUUGAUCGAUUCCAAAUUUAACCAUGAACUUAUAACUACCGAAAGUUUUGAAAAGUUGAUAGACAAUUCUCUUAAAAAAAUAAUAAAAUUAAUAUCUUACCGCUGAUUAAGAGAGAUCUUUCUCUCUCUGUCGCCCCCAAAUUCCCAGAUCCGGAAUCACACACUCUCAUUUGCAGAUCCAAGCCCUAGGCCCCUGCUCCAAUGGCGGAGUCGCCCUCGCCCCUCCCGAUUCCCAACGAGCACCACCACGGCACGGCGCUGCUCCGGGAGAUCGCGGUGGACUACUGCCCCGAGGCGUGCGACCACUCCCCGGCGGCGUCGGAGAUCCGCGUCGUCUUCGACCACCGCGGCGGCGCUCGGUGGCGCUCCCGCUCCCGCUUCCGCUUCGGCACGUUCGGCGCCCUCAUCCGCGGCCCCGGCGGCGACACGAGCGGCCUCAACUUCAACCUCUACCUCUCCUCCCUGGAGGGCGACAAGUCCCAGGACGAGAUCGACUUCGAGUUCCUCGGCAACGACCCCUCCGCCGUCCAGACCAACUUCUACACCGCCGGCCUCGGCCGCCGCGAGCGCAUCCACCCGCUCGGCUUCCACGCCGCCGACGGCUUCCACGAGUACCUCAUCAAGUGGGCGCCCCAUCUCAUCGAGUGGCUCGUCGACGGCGCCGUCCUCAGGAGGGAGGAGCGCAGCGCCGCGCACCAGCCCUGGCCCCUCAAGCCCAUGUUCCUCUACGCCUCCGUCUGGGACGCCAGCUACAUCGACGACGGCCGCUGGACCGGCAGCUACGUCGGCUCCGACGCGCCCUACGUCUGCCUCUACCGCGACGUCAGGGUUCCGAUCGACAACGCCGUGGCCGAGGAAGGCGAUGCCGCCGCCGAAGCAGCAGCAGCAGCAGCAGCAGAGGCCGAGAAACAAAAUGUAAGUUGAGAUCUCUCUACCUUCUCUUAUGUCUGAGUCGUAUUCCGGAGGAUUAAAUGCUUCUCUUUGUACAUCAACUUAUUUAAGGGACGAUUAUAGUAUCUUACCUACAUCAUCCCGUUCCUUUUUGUGAUGUUCGAAGAUAUAAUUCAUCAAAAAGUUGAUGUACAAGUAUUUAGAUGCUAUUUGUGUUUUUGAGUUGUUGUUGUUGUUGUUGUUGUUCUUGUUCUUGUUGUAUUGAAUUCUGGUUAGUGACAAUAAUGUGAUUGUUCUGUUGUUGGUUAUCUCACAAUUGCAAUAAGCAAAUUAUGGGCCAUGUUGUGUUCAAAUCUUAAUUCAUUACAACCUCUGGCUUGAUCUUUCUAAAUUUUUGACUAAAUAGUACCGUAGCCCGGAUAUGGGGCAAAAAUGUUGUGGUUGAUGCUGCGAAAAUGACUGAAGUGUUGUGGUGCCAUUGUCGGAUAGGAAUUUGAAUUAAAAAUUAUAAUAAAUUAAAGUUUGAGAAUCAAAGUGACGCCUGCUUUAUAAUGCGAGAAUCAAAAAUAUGAUUUAUCUGUAGAUGUCAGACAACUUUAAAUACCCGUUUUGUGGUUUACUGUAUUUUUAACUUAAUACUUUGUGGUUUUAACUAUAUUGUCUAAGUAACUUAUAGUUUUAUUUUUCGUUGUUUUCUCACGCCUUCGGUGAACUUCUUCGUUAAAACUGUCGCGUGCCAUGCCCGUGCCGCACUCUGCACAUGUAUGUCGUGAAUCGUCGGUUUUUUGCCUUUGUAAGACAUCUCCGACUUUGUGGGGCGGCACGUGACGAUUUUAACGAAAAAGUUAACGGAAGGCGUAACAGAAAAUAAAUAUAGAAAUCACAUGUACUUAAAUAAUGUAGUUAAAACUACAUAAUACAAAACUAAAAAGGUGGUAAAUCACAGGAGAUAUAUGAAGUUUUCCUUAGAUUUAUUAUUAGAUCUGUACACUUUCUCGCUCUUUAACACUCUACAUUAAAUUUCUCGAUUAGCACAACUAGACACUCUUCAUUAAAUUUCUCGAUUCGCACAAGUAGAAUUUCUUUUGUCACCCUUCGGGCCACAGCAAAAGUCCAUCUCGGCUAAAGUGCAUAGACCCGUUGCGUGUACAAGAUCACCCUCCCACACAUGAAACUUCAAUAUUCAACCAAGUUUAUUGCUAUUAUAUAAUGCAAUAUAAUAGAUGAAAUACAAAUUGAUUAGUACCAAGAACAUAAAUAAUACCAACUAACCAAAUUUAAAGUAUUGAAUAUUUAACAUCUAUGCAUCAUUGCCAAAAAUAGAUACAUCUCUAUUUCAUCCUCUCACAAGUUCGGUUCCCAAAAAGCUAACCCCAAGACCAAGGUUGGCCAGCAAGUUAGGUGCAUCCCGUUUCGCCCAACGAACUCUCCUCAAUAGUGCUCCGCCCUCACCGCUAGCCACAAGGAUAUCACAAAUUCUCCCCGAACUUAGUCCAAUACGAGUAUAGCCGAGCGUCUCAUCUCCCCCGCGUUUCGCUCCCACGACUCAACCCGCACGCCGCAAGAGUCAAGGUCCAGACUUCGCAAUAUCGCAUGCCACGAAGAAUACUCAUAAACAUAAAUCCUUAUUUGCCAUCUCGUCUCAUACACCUUGCAGCGUCCACGGUCAUACUGCAUACGCGGUCUGCUUGCUCGCUCCAACGGCAUACAUAUGACAAGCCACCCAAGUGCGUGCUGUAAGCCAGCAUGACUCCCAGGUUCAGCGACUUAACGGGACACCCCACAUGCCUAUGCUUUCAGCGACUUAACGGGACACCCCGCAUGCCUAUGCUUCGCACUUUUUGCUUCGCAUCCAACUCGUAUGAACCGCGUGCCCCAUCGCUCCUAGCGAAAAAAGCCAACAAGCCCACACUGUGCUCUCGACCGCCCACAUGAUCCUCACUUUAUGGUGGUGCUCCGCGCCCUUGAUUUCCAUAGGUUCACAUUAUAAGGCUCCAUGCCAACAAGUCAAGCCUUGCUCCGCAUCGCUAGUCACCUGGCCUCUCCAUGGCUCAGCCAUGCCUGGUCGCUACCACCAUUGGUCUAGACUUCAAAGGUUUACUUUACGGAUGCAGAUACUGCUUGCUUGAUUAGGUUCCGCCUCUCGAGUCUUGUGAGCGCUACGCCCACAAAUCUGUCUUAAUAUAUCUCUAGAUUUGAUAUUAGAUAUUUUCUCUUUCUUGCUCUUUUCCACUUUUCAUUAAAUUUCUGGGUUAGCACAAGCAGAACUUAUCACUCAGGCCAUGUUUGGAUGCUUAGAUAAAAACUUUAUGGAAUUUUUAUUCUAUAGUUUUGGUCUACAUAAAAUACGAAAUUUUGUAACUCCAAAAUUACAGAAUUAGGGUUUAAUCUAUGUUAGAUGUUACUAAAAUUUGAUAAUCGACUUCAGUUCGGAACUUUGACUCGCUGACAGUUUCGCGGUGCGACCAAUUUGAAAAAUAAGUUGUGAAAAAAAAAUAAAUGUCUGUGGUGGAUAGCGGAGGGCUUGGGCUGGUACAGAUCGGAUCAGAUCCGAAACCCAUUAAAAAUUUUUCUUUCUCGUUUUUUAUCACAAAGGCGACAGAUCGUGGUUGGUUGUACUCGAACAUUAUAUUCCCUUUUCGAUAGUGAAGUUUUCUCCUCCCUCGUCCGUGAUUUUUUCCUGCAAAGAAUUUUUCACGUAAAUCUGUGUGUUUUUCUAUUUCUGUUUCUGAUUUGUUUAUUUUGUAUUCGUCAUUUUCGUUUCUGUUUGUGCGUUUGUCGUAACAAUCUAUGUAUUUUAAACUUACAAAAAAGGCAUUCAAAUAUUAUAUUGCAAAAUUUUACUUUAAAAUGCUAAAAGACUCAAAAAAAAAAAAUUCAAUACUCUUAAGAAAGUCCUGUGACUCUUUCCUGUUGGAACUACGGUCCUUUUAUUAAGGAGUUGAUUUGGAAGUGAUUUUAGAGGCUGUUUGGUUAUAUGUAGUUACAACUAUAUUAUAGUUGUAACUGUAUAUAGAUCUAAAUUUGAUAUUUGAUUUUAGAAUUAAUUUCAUACAUGUUCCUAUAAAUAUAGUGAAUUAUAAAUAUAUUCCUACAAAAUUCAACUUUUAUAUGUUGUCCACUUGUCCCUACAAAACUCCUAAUAUUUUCAAAUAUGACCCUUUGGUUUGUUACCGUUAAAGCAUUGGUUAUUUUAUAAGUGAAAUAAUUUUUUUUGCCAUCACAAGUAUGUCCCUCCAAAAAUUCCAACCCUUAAUUAAAAAAGGAUAAAAAUGUCAAUUUACCUCAUUAACUAACUAAGGUCAAGUAUUUUACCUAUGGUUAAUUAUUUUUUUCUAACGGAGAGGCAUAUUUGAAAACAUUAGGACUUUCACAAAACAACAUAUGAAAAUUAAACUUAAUAUAAAUAUAUUUGUAAUUCACUAUAUUUACAAAGAUCUGUAUGCAAUUAAUCCUUAAUUUUAUAUAUUUGAAAUCUAACCAAUCAAAUUUCAAGAAGCCUCAUAAAGUGCUUUCUUAGGAGUUUUUUUUUUUUUUUUUUUUUUGAGAGAGAUAGGUAGCACGCUACUCGCUUCGUUUAUUUCAUUUAGAAAUACACUUAGCUUGAAAUGUGCUUCUUAGGAGUUAAACUUCUAUUUAUCCAUAUUUCUUGGUUGCGCGAGCCGAAUCGGGAGCAAGAGUUGAAGCUGGCGCGGGAACAGUAGGAGCUCCAACUCGCCGAAUAAGCUACCACAAUACCUAUCCUGCUCUUUGGAAAAAUCGAACACAUGAUGUUCCCUUCGAUCUAUUUCUUGAUUUCCCCAUGAAUUGUAUGCUUAUGACAAUAGCAACAUUUUAAAGGUUGGUAUUUUAUGUCCAAUAUCUCGAUCUAAGUAUGGAUGUCGGUAUGGUUGGAAUUGUAUGAGAAAGUUUAAUUGUAACAAUUGAAAUUACGCCUAAAUUGAUUGUAAUUUCAACUGCGGCAGUAGGAAAAGUAAUUUUAAAUAAAAAAUAAGCUUUUGGCCGCAUAUAUACUAUAAUAUAAUUAUUAUUUUUCAAUUGAAUAUGAUCAUACUCAAUAAAAUUAUUUUGUUUACAUCAAAUUAUAUUUGUUUAUAGCAAUAUCACUUUCAGACGCAAAUGGAUUGUCAUUUUCUCCAUUGGUUUAUUGUAGACACACUGAAUUAUUAUUCACUGAUAACCCAGACCAUAUACCUAUCAACUAAUAUUAUUAUUCCAAGAUAAAGGUGUAAAAUGAACCAAAUGAGUAUCUUUCUAUCUUUCUCUAUCUUUGAAAAGAAAAUAUCACCGAUGAUAAUUCAUAAGAACUUAAUAUGCAUGCACGUGAAAGAAAAGUACAAUUUAAGAUUAAGCAGUAUAAUUUAUUUGAAGGGUUAAUUGUAUACAGCUCCCUAUAAAUAUGUCGAAUCGUAAAUAUAUCUCUACAAAAUUUAACUUUUUAUAUUUAUUUCUGUGUAAAUCCUAAUAUUUUUAAAUAUAUCUCCAUUGUUAUGAUCCGUUAGAAAAAUAUGCUUAAUCAGAAGCAAAGUAUUUAAUCAUGAUUAGUGAAUAAGAUAAAUUGAUUUUUUUAUUCCUCUUAUAUAUUUGUGAUGGUGGAAAAAAAAAGAUAAUUGUUGAAAAUUUUUGGAAAGGUAUUUCUGCAUAUUUCUAAUAGUUGGAAUUUUUGUAGAGACGUAUUUGUGAUGGCAUAUCAUUUCACUUAUUUUCUGUUAAAACAUAAAUAAUACUCUAACUGUAACAGAUCAAAGACACAAAUAUGAAUAUCACUGAAUUUUUACAAUAAUAUAUAUAAAAAUUGAACUUUAUAAAAAUAUAUUUACUAUUUGAUAUAUUUACAAGGAGCUGUUUGAAAUUAAUCCUUUGAAAUAGAAUUUUUUGGACGGAACUUAAGAUCUCUCCUCUUGAAGAACAGCAACACCAAGUAUAUGACAAGAUCAAAUCAUCUAACGAAAAUAACUAGCAGUUUAUAGUUUAAAUUGUCUACAACUCCGUGCGUAAAAUUUUUUGGGUACCGAACAAUUUUGCCUCUCAUCUGUGACUAAAUCUGUAAUGAAAUUACCUUUGGAAAAUUUCUGCGCAUGGAAUUGUAAAAGAUAUUCUUUCAAAAUUUGUACUAAAUUAUUGUACUACAGCAGGUUGUGUGAUUAUGAUUGGAGAGAUCUGUUUAUGGAUUCCUUGGAAAAGAAAGGACACUAUCCUACUCCCAUAUGCAAGAGAGCUGAUAGGUUGGAGAUGCCCACCCCACUACUCCUUUUUGCUUGGUGAUGUCAUAAAAGGAGACCUCCCCCAAUCAAAGAAAGAAGUUGGUGGUGCAAAAAUAUACCUACUUCCUUUAUCCCUUAGUACAAAUUUAGGUUUUAAAUUUAAGGUGUGAGUUAUCAAUUAUCAUAUUUUUAGCCUACUGCGUUAGAUAUAGCCGGUCUGAUUUUGAUAUCGUAAGAAAAUUUUGAUUGAAGUUUAUCAAUUUUACUAACUAAAUUUAGUAAAUUUGAUUUAUUUCUAAUAAUGAUGGCUCUAGUACUAUAAUAUUUCUUUCACGCCAAAGAAGCCGCUUCUAUUGAUAAUUGAUAUGGUUGUAUUGAUAUGGAGUAGUUCUAAAGCAUUAUUCAAAUCAUUGCCUUUAUAGAUUGCUAAUAUGCUGGUAUUUUUGAAGUUUGAAAUCGUACAUAAAUUAGCUGGUAGUCUUAUUUAUGUAAUACAGAUCAACUUAUCAUAUGUUGUAUAGGUUUGAAUAGAGGUACCUAGAACAUUUUCUAUUAGGUUGAUUUCAUGGAUGUGCUUGUGGAAAGUAUUCUUUGUGAUAAAUAUAUUCUAUCUAUUGUUUUUUAUAUUAAGUUUUUGCAUUGAACAUUUUCUAUUGGUUUUUAUGUAUGUCAUUGAGAAACAAUUCAAAGAAAAAUGCAGAAUAUAUAUAUUGGCUUAAAUGGACUAGCAUCCUGUCCUGUGACGGGAGGUCAUAUUGGACCGAGUCAUGUUCAAAAUGACGCGAGGCUGUGUGAAUCGAGUCAUGUUCGAAGUGACGUUAGGCUGAUUGAGCCGAGUCAUAAUCGAGAUCCGUGAGCGCUGUAUCUGUACGCUUUAAGGGGCCGUUUGGUUGGAUGUAGUUGCAGAAACAGUGUAGUUGAAAAUACAUGCAGUUGCAAAUGCUGCAGUUAUAACUACACCUAGUUUGUUUGGUUUUACGCAGUUGCAACUGCUGCAGUUACAUUUCUUCUGUUUGGUAAUAUGAAGCUGAUAGUUGUAUUUAUGAAUUUUGUCACCUCUUCAGAUAGAGUGGUGAGGUUACCUUCACUAAACAUAAAAUAAUUGUAUAAAUUUAUUAAUUAUUUAAAUUUACUAUUUAUAAAUAAAUAAGUAGAUAUAUAUAAUAUUUUUAUAUUUUUCAAUAAUUCUUCAACUUAUUAAUCGACACAUUUAAAAUUUUUAAUUUAUUUAAUUUUAAUAUGUAAAUCAAACUUUAAAAAUUUAAACGAUUCUCUCAUUUUUUUUUUAUCAAAUUUAAUAAUUAUAAUUAAUUAAAACUUAUUAAAUUAACAUACACGAUCACAUUCUAUAAAAAUUUAGGGAAAAAAAACUAUAUUUAUAUUUUAAAUAAAAUAAAUUUAAAAAAAUUAAUUUUUUGCACAAAGCUUGUAUUGUCUAAAAAAUUUUAUUAGUAUGAGUUUAUUUAUAAGUAUUUUUAUUUACCUAUAUACAUAUAUUAUUUAUUUAUUUAGCUAUUUAUUUAUUUAUUUAUUAUUGUUAAUUUGUUGGUGAUCCUAUCCCUCACCAACUGCUGCAGUUGAAACUACGACCAAUUUGGAUGUAGUUCCAACUGCAGCAUUUGGGUCUUCUUGUGCAGUUGGAACUGCAGUAGUUGAACUCAAUUACACUAAACCAAACAAAAAAAUUGUGGCUGCACGCAUUUGCAACUGCACUACAGUUGCAAAUGCGUACAACCAAACAGCCCCUAAAUGAAUUGAUUACGUAUUUCUAAACUCGAGCUUUUGGGAUUAAUAAUUAGUGCCAAUGAUUCGACAAGUGGUAUCAGAGCCAGAGGUCACAGGUUCGAUUCCUAUGCUGGAGGGGGGAUUGUUGGCAUCCUAUCCUGUGGUGUGAGAAAAUUUAAAGAAGUAUAGCACUUAACUUGGCUCUUCUAGUAUUUAAUUUGUUGCUAUUUCUUGCACAUAUUGUACAUCCUGUCCUGUGGUGUUAGAUAACUACCAAUAUUCUCAUUUUAUUUAAAAAUAAUGAGAAGAAAAAAAUUAAUUAGUAAAUACUAAGCGACCUAUUUUAUAAAAUUAUCUAAUUUGAAGAAAAAAAAUAUUACUCAUUUUCACUAUUUCUAACUAUAUAAGGCUAUAUAUACCAAUGCAACUUAUGCAUAACAUAUUGAUGAAAUAGUAAAAAAGCUGGAUUAAGUGAUAUAACUUUAAAUCUUUAGAAGGCAAAAUAAAAUUUUUUAAAAGAUUAAGAGAUAAGAUAAAAAAAGGAAUAUUUAUGUUUAAAUUUUUCAGCAUUUUUGCCGUAAAAAAGUAGUGGUAAAAACGCCCACAAUUUAUCUUAAUUGUGGACUAUUUUAAGUUCACUAUCCAACCUUUGAAUUUUUUUUAUUUGAAUUAAUUAUUCAAUUGCAUUUUUAUUCUAAAAUUUGAACGCAUCGAUCAUUUAUCUCUACAGAUUAUUUAAUAUACUAUAUGUAAUUCUUGUAAUUAUAAACUAAUUAAAAUAAAAAUUAGCUUAAAUUUUAAAGUUAAAAUAUUAUUAUUGAGAAUUAAAAAUUAAAUAAAAAUUAAAAAAGAAGUUGAACUCUUUUGUUUUUUAAACCAAAAUUCUUAUAUUAAUUGGAUACGCCAAAAUAAAUUAUUGAUGAUUCGAUGUGAUUUGCUGCACCUCUACAAUGUUAACACCCCGACCGUGAAUCACGUGGUUUGAUGUACUCGACACACCAAUCAAUUUUUCUGAGUUAAUAAUAAAUAAUAAAUUUCCACUAACGUUAUGAACGAGUAGUUGGCUAUUCUUUUUUUAAAAAAAGUGGGUGGCCAAUUUUUGUACCAUUAUUUUUUAGGUUAGUUGCGUAAUUAAGCUAAAAGAUAUUAAUUUUUUUUAGCUUAAUGCUAAGAGGUUCUAUUGUCUUUUAAUUCUUUUAUUAAUUUUUUGGAAUAUCUCUUUAUGUUAUUAUUAUUAUUAGGGAAAACUUCAAAAACCCCCCUGUGGUUUCACACUUUUUCAUUUUAGUACCCUGUGGUUUGAAGUGUAUCAAGUUAGUACCCUGUGGUUUCUCACUUUAUCACUUUAGUACCCUGUGGUUUAAAAUGUAUCAAGCUAAUACCCUGUGGUUUUGCACUUUAUCACUUUAGUACCCUGUGGUUUCACACUUUAUCACUUUAGUACCUUGUGAUUUAAAAAACUAUAGGGUACUAACUUGAUACAAAAUUAAAACCACAGGGUACUAAAGUGAUAAAGUGCAAAACCACAAGGUACUAACUUGAUACACUUUAAACCACAGGGUACUUAAGUGAUAAAGUGAGAAACCACGGGUACUAACUUGAUACAUUUUAAACCACAGGGUAUUAAAAUGAAAAAAAUUGAAACCACAAAGGGGGUUUUUGAAGUUUUCCCUUAUUAUUAUUCUAAUGAAUCCUCUGUAUCAUUAUAAGCCAGUGUUUCUCCCAUUCUCUCACUACUUGCUCUUAAUUUAGUCCUCCUUAAUGCCCCUCUUCCAGCAAGAAGAAUCAACCUUUGGGAAUAUGGCUUAAUUUUGUGAAAGAUUCCCGGAUCUCUCGCAAAAAAUGAACAUUAUUGAGACACAUUAAUUUGGUUCCGGAUUCCUAUAAUCAUUGAUAUUGGCCCCAUCUAACAAUACUAGGUAGAAUAAAAUUAGAGCAGAUAAAUAUAGAAUAUAUUUAUAUAUUUUUCGAUGAAACCACGAAAAGUAUAUCAUUAGUUAUUUAUUAUGAUAUAUGAAACACAAUAUUACAAACCAAAAAUAAUCAAAAAAAAAAAAAAAAAUUUACCGUACUUUCUCACUCACCACACAUAGAUUACUUUUCUAUUGGUCUAUUUAGUAGCUAGGACUGUUGAUGCACCUCGAGUACUUCAAAUGCACGAUUUUUGUAAAAUUUUUUGAUUUGUGUAUAAUUCUUUCACAUUAUAAAUGUCAAUACGUCAACAACAGUAUUAUUAUUAUUUUUUUUUUUAAGUUCGGAGAGACACUGGAGCACAGCAGUCCGUACUCAUUCGACACCACUUGCACAUGUGCACAAAAUAAGCUCUAAGUCUGAUCUAUUAAUGUGCAAAUACAGCUUUAUGUAUGGCAAUUUCCAAAUUUCUGGGAGAAGAACAAACGGUCAAACUGAAUCCGCUGAAUCCAAACAGAGACGGGGUAAAUAAAGAGAAACAACAACAAGAACAAUGUCGCCAAAACAUUUCUUUUCCAAAACAUUUAUUUUCUUCUCUUUUUUUUUUUCCAGUAUAGAAAAGUUCAAAUCAUAAGUAUAAUAAUAUAUAAUGCGCGCGUCCUCUCGGAUAAACAUCAAUUGCCAUAAGUAGGAAACACUAACAUUCGAAAACAAUCAAGAGAAACUAGAGUACCGAGCUCUUGUAGGCAAUCGCACUUUGUAGAUAAAAAUAGGAAAAGAGCAAUACAAACCUGGGAUUACAGAGCACAAAUGAUAUUUGUACGAGAAAACAGCUCAGCUUGGAAACAGUCUGAACAUUUGAACGAGCGAGCGAGCGAGCGAGCGAGCUUAGGACCGAUGCUGCUGAUACCCCGCAUUACAGAGAGGGAGGGUCUUUCUUACGUACGUACGUACAGAGGAGGAGGAGGAGGAGGAGGAGGAGCAGAGCAAGUGAUGAUUAUUAUUUCUGUACAAAUUAAAACAGGGGAGGCAGGAGGAGGAGGAGGAGGAGGAGGAGGAGGAGGGAGUAAUUGUGUUGUGGUGUUGUGGAUCAAUGGAGGUCGUAGAUGUUGGGGUCGGCGGCGUAGGAACCGAGGAUGCGGACGAAGACGGAGAAGCGGGAGAUGUCGUCGAUGGCGUCGCGGACGUUGGGGUCGUGGGCGGAGCCCUCGCAGUCGACGUAGAGGACGUGGGGGAAGGCGCGGAGGGAGCCGCGGCCGCGCACGUCGAGGAUCAUGACGGGGGCGGCGCCCUCGGCGGGCGAGUUGAUCACCUCCAGCUUGGUCAGGUUGAUGUUGCGCCUGGAGAAGGCGGACAGCACCCUCAGCAGCACCACCAUCGACCCCCCGCGGUGGGCGAUCACCAUGCUCGUCUUCUUCUUCUUGCUGCUCUUGUUGUUGUUGUUGUUGUUGUUGUUGUUGCUCCCGUCGCAGCGGUGGUGAUCAUGAUCAUGGUGGUGGUCGUCUUUGGAGAGCAUGAGGAAGCGGGUGACGUUCCAGGACUCGUCCUGGAGGCCGUGGGCGAGGACGUCGAGGCCGUAGAGGAGGGCGGCGCGGGGGCUGGCGAUGGCGGCGGUGUCGAGGAGGCGGCGGGAGCGGAGCAUCUCGACGGCGCCGGCGGUGUCCUCGACGGGCUCGCGGCGGAGGCCGAGGAGGGAGAGGGCGCGGCCGCAGUGGGCGAGGGCCAUCGGGUGGCUGAUCACGCGCCGGAGCUCGGCGGGGCGCACCCCGGGCAUGGCCAGCAGGCAGUAAUGCACGAACAGGCUGAUCUCCCGCACGAUCCGCAGGUCGUGCCGGAGCAGCAGGUCGUAGUUCCGCAGCGCCGUCCCCUCCAUCGUGCUUUCCACCGGCACGAUCGCCCGGUCCGCCGCCCCCCGCUCCACCGCCGCGAUCGCGUCCGCGAACGCCCGGCACGGCACCGUCUCGCACUCCGGGAACGCCGUCUUCGCCGCGAACUCGCUGUACGCGCCCCGCGCCCCCUGGAACGCCACGCGCAGCCGCUCCAUCUGCGCCGCCUCCGCCGCCCACCCGUCGAUCCCCGGCGCUGACGCCGCCGCCGACCCGUUGAUCCCCGGCGCCGCCGCCGACCCAUUGAUCCCCGGCGCCGCCGCGGCCACCACCGCCGCCGCCAUGUGCGAGGCUUUGCGAGAUCUACCGGAGCCGAAGAGGAAGACCUGCCGCUGCUGGUGGUGCAGCUUCUUCUCCCCGUUCCACCCCGCUGCCGCCGCGGCGGUGGCGGUGGAGAAGGGAUUGGGGAGAGCGCACGCCAUGGCGAUGGCGAAUUUUGGGGGGAUUUUGGGGAGAAGAAGAAGAAGAAGAAGAAGAAGAAGAAGAAGAAGAAGGGGGAUGAUGGAGAGAAUGGUGGUUGCGUUUGGGCGACUUUGGGGAAUUGUUUAAUAAGGCGACUCCGCGGGUAUAAAGGACAAAGAAGAGGGGUUCGGAAGAUGAAAAGGUGCGGGGUUAUUAUUUUGACGAUUUUGCCCCUGACUGAAUUUUAUACUGCCACACUUGCACCACGUCAAUAAUAACAAGCCAAUCACAUUUCUUCAUUUCAAAUUAAAGUAUGAUAAAAAUAUUUUUUAUAAUUAUGAUUGGACAUAUAUUUUUAAAGAAGAUAUUUGAUUGGUGUUACGUUACGUCACUAAUAUAGCCGUUAUAUUCUAGAAUUUUUCGUGGAUUGGUGGGUGACUUGGCGCGGAAGCUUAUUACCGCUCAAUGAUGCAGCGGCUGCCGCUGCUGCUGAUAAGGGAUGGGCCGACGCCUGUGAUAAGCCCAUAAAUAAAGCAGGCUCGACCUAUAUUUUCAUUAGGGAUGCAAACGGAUCCGGGUUGGUGGAGCUCCCGUCCCGAUCCGCCCCGACGGGGAGAGUAAAUGGGAGAAAAUAAAUUGAUUCGGGGCAGAAAACGGGGCAAGUUUUACGAUCCGAGACGGAUUCGGGGCAGGAAACGGGAAAAUUUUUGACCCGCUCCGAAUCCGCCCCGAAUCCGUCCCGCCAUGAUCCGCCCCGAAUCCGCCCCAAAUAUCAUUUGCAUUUUUUAAAAAUAUUUCUAAAAAAUAAUAUAUUUACAAAAAAAGUUCAAAAUACAAAUAAGUUAUUACUCUCAUUUCUAAUGAAUUUGAAACAUUUGAAUUUUGUUUUGAAUUGUGAUUCAUAUUUUUAAUUUUUACCAUUAAUAUUGUUAAAUUAUAUAUAUAAUAUUAUUAAAAAUUAUUAUUUUAUAUUUUUUAAAAUAUUAAUAAUAUUAUAAUUUUAUAAAAAAUAUUAGUUGGCGGGGCGGAUUCGGGGCGCCGGCGGGAGGCGGGUUACGAGGCGGGGCGGAUUAUGGGAUGUAUUUUUUAACCCGUCACGGAUUCGGGGCGGGAGGCGGGGCGGAUUUUUGCUAGUCGGGGCGGGAGGCGGGGCGGGUCUCCCGCCCNGGCGGGUCUCCCGCCCCUAGAUCCGUCCCAUUUGCAUCCCUAAUUUUCAUCCUGCUGUACUGCCACAGAUAAGCCACAGGACUUUUCACUUUUCAUUUCCCAAUACAAGAAUCUUACAGUGAAAAAUAAAUAUUGCUAUGUGAGCCGUCCGGUUAUAUUUCAGUUCCGUAUUUUAAUGAGACAGUUUGUAUUCGACUCAUUUAAUAAAAAAUAAACACGAACUAGUCUAUCUCAUUCUUGUUCGACUCGUUGACGGCCCUAAAAUAUCCUAGUUGUGGUUUGCAUUUUUAAUUUGAUGAAGUCUAUGCGGCGAUCUUCAUUAAUUACAUGCUAAAACAUAGGCCAUUAUCUUUCCACCGGAGAGUCUAAUCACUAGAGAUUAUGUCCAGUUUCUCAAGUUGAAGGAUAUUUCUUAGGUAAUCGAGUAUAGUUUUAUCGAAGAUUUUAAGUGUCCGUCGGCACAGACCGUAUCCACCGUUCUGUACGGUAUGAUACAGACUCCGUACUGAUGGCACAGCUUAAGACCCUCUAUUUUUUAAAUUAGUAAGUAAUAUUCUCAAUAAAAUUCAAAAGAUAUGAUAAAAAAAAAUAAUAAAUAGUUAAAAUAUUUUAUUGCUAAAAAAAAUAAAUAUUUCAUACUAUUAUAUGUCGGCAUAUAAGAAUUUUUUGACCGACAUGCAUCGGCACGACUCGGCACGCACUAUACCAGUAAGUUUCCGACACGCCCCGUGCCACGGCACUUAAAUCUUUGGUUUUAUCUUAAAAAAAAAGCAGCUCAUUUGGAGUAUUUUAAUAGAAUGUUUUUUUGAACAAUUUUUUUCAUUUCUUUUAUGAGGAAAUUCAAAUAUGCAACACAAACAAACAAAAUUGCUAUAUAAUAACAAUUUCAAUUGAAAAUAUUAGUUUAUUAUAUUAUCUGAUGAAAUUUUAAAAAGUUUAAUUGUCAAAAUUAAAAAUUUGAACACUUAUUCAUCAAAGUGCUAAAAUUAAAAGAUUACUUUGUCACAACAAUUUAAGUAGCUCCAAAAUUGAUUCAAUUAAAUGAAGUAUUGAAGAAACAAACACAUUAUAAAAUUUAAGAAGUUAUUACUUACAAAAGGAGGUUUGAAAAAUGGAAAUGCUACCGACCGUUCCUAAAGUAAGUGGCAAAGGAUUUGGUGAUUACUUACAAAAGGAGGUUUGAAAAAUGGAAAUGCUACCAACCGUUCCUAAAGUAAGUGGCAAAGGAUUUGGUGAUUAGUAUUCGAGAUUCCAAGUUCGAAUUCUAAUUGAUUCACAUUUUCAGCUACGUUUAUUUCUAAAUAAAAUAAACGAAACGGAUAACGUGUUACCUAUCUCUCAAAAAAAGAAAAAGAAAAAUGGAAAUGCUCAAGGAUUAAGUAGAAGUAAAUACUUAUAAUGACAUAGUCCAAAGACUAGGUCCUCUAUUAGAAAAUUAAAAUUGCCAUCACUCUACGACAUAACGAUAGAUCUCACAUCAUAGUAGAAGGGUCAUUUUGAUUUUUCUUAUCUUUAUUAAUUAUGAAAAGGUUAAAAAAAAAAAAGUGUCUGUUCUUUUUUUUUUAUUAUAUAUUUUUCUCAUAUUUUGCAUACAUUUGUAUGUUUGUGGGGUUCUGACAACAGCUUAGCCUUUUCCCUUUCAAAUAAUUGGCUUUAGUUGUAGGUUGUUUGAUUCAAUUAUUAAUUUAUUAUAUCGCAUUUACUUAGCAUAAAGGUGAGAAAAGAAAAGGAGAAUAAAAAAUGUUAUGUAUAAUUUAAUACUUUUUUGAAAAAGUGUAUCAAUUCGAAAUUACUUCAAUUGGUGUUUUCUGAUAAUUUUUGAGAAAUUUUUACUUGGUAUAAGCUUAAAAUUAAAACAAUCAAAUUAGUGUGGACAAUUGAAUCAACUGAUUGGUCUCCAUCUUAAACAACAUUGUGGGUAAGCUCAUGUUGUUUGCUGCUGCUGAGCCCUAGAACAUGCUCUUUGGUUUUGAGGAAAGUAGCUAAAAAAAAAAAAAAAAACAAUGUAUGUUUUCAAAACUUUGGACUUAUGGUGUAAAGCCCCGUCCUGUCGCACAUUAAAGGUUAUGUGGGCGCAUGCACCGACCCGCCGAACUGUGUUAUUGACAAGGUCAGGACCGUUGACAACUAAAAAGGACCCUGACAGAACGGAUAUAACUUUUUCUAUCCAUCUAAGACGUAAACAAAAUCAAUAUAUUGAAUUUUACUCAAGAAAGACAACACAACACAAUUUUGUACGAGGGCAUAUCAUACAGAGCCGAUACUAUAUAUUAUUAUAAUAUUUCAAAAAUAUUAUAUUAUUUAAUAUUUGAAAUGAUAAUUUUUUUACUAACUAAUAAAACCACUUAAGUUAGGAGGCUAUUAAAAACUAAUAUAUUUUUAUGGGAAAACUUCAAAAACCCCCCCGUGGUUUCACACUUUUUCAUUUUAGUACCCUAUGGUUUAAGGUGUAUCAAGUUAGUACCUUGUGGCUUCUCAUUUUAUCACUUUAGUACCUUAUGGUUUAAAAUGUAUUAAGUUAGUACCUGUGGUUUUGCACUUUAUCACUUUAGUACCCUGUGGUUUCACACUAUAUCACUUUAGUACCCUGUGAUUUAAAAAACCACAGGGUACUAACUUGAUACAAAAUUAAAAACACAGGAUACUAAAGUGAUAAAGUGCAAAACCACAUGGUACUAACUUGAUACACUUUAAACCACAGGAUACUAAAGUGAUAAAGUGAGAAACCAUAGGGUACUAACUGGAUACAUUAUAAACCACAGGGUACUAAAGUGAAAAAAAUUGGAACCGCAAGGAAGGUUGGAAUGGCAAGGAAGGUUUUUAAAGUUUUUCCUAUUUUUAUUAGUACUAAUAAUUUUCAUCAAAUAUAAAAAUAAGAAUAUCUCCUGCCUCAUAAUAAGCUAGUAUAUAUUGCUACCUUCUAGUAAACUACAAUGAUUUUAUUACUUUAUAAUUAUCUUUUACAUCUACUCAACUUGAGUUGAAUAGUAAAUACUUGAACAUUUUCAAUACUAGAUAGGAAAAAUUAUCGAAGUCUUAUAAACCUUGAACCAAAUAACCCCUGUGAUUAUCUAAAGUUACUGAGUUAAAACAAAUUCAUGAAAAUCACAAAAAUCCUAUCUUAAUUGAUCCAGUUCAAUCUCGUGAUUUAUUGUUAUUUACAAACAUAAAUAAUGUAUUUUUCAACUAUUCUUUCUCACUGUACUUCAAAGACUGCCAUCUAAUACAUCUAAUCUAUCUAAUACAUACAUAUACUGUUGGGAAUCCGGUACUCGCCCCGUUAUCGGAUCUUGUGAAUCUGCAACCCGCUCUGAUACUGACUGCUGUGGAUCCGGUACCGAUUGUUGGAAUUCCGCAACGUAAUCGUCAAAUCGGAUUUUUCACAUAAACUUAUCUCUUCAGCAAAAACUGAUACAAUCACAAAAGAGAGAAAAAUUAAAACAAAAAAUAUGCGAGUAAAAUAAAAUUCAUUAAAUAAGAGAAGAUUACACCCGACUCUUCUUCUGCAUAGAAUAGCUACAACCCAAGCUCUCUUUCUGAAUCUUUUCUACCCUUCUCUCGUCUUCUAUAAAUCCACAAAAAGGACAACUCUCUUUUUUUUUCUCUUAUACGCACCCGUGCACAAGGUGCAUGCGCUUAACCUUAGACAAGACUCCCUCUCUCUCUUGUCUACCGUACGGCAAGGAGAUCACCUUGGCCGUACACCUCACAGCCUCAAUAGCCCUCUCCUAAUUAAUUCCUUAAUGCUAUAUAUAUAUAUAUAUAUAUAUAUAUAUAUAUAUAUAUAUAUAUAUAUAUAUAUAUAUAUAUAUAUAUAUAUAUAUAUAUAUAUAUAUAUAUAUANAUACGCACCCGUGCACAAGGUGCAUGCGCUUAACCUUAGACAAGACUCCCUCUCUCUCUUGUCUACCGUACGGCAAGGAGAUCACCUUGGCCGUACACCUCACAGCCUCAAUAGCCCUCUCCUAAUUAAUUCCUUAAUGCUAUAUAUAUAUAUAUAUAUAUAUAUAUAUAUAUAUAUAUAUAUAUAUAGAGCACCCACAUAAAGUGUACUCCAAUCCUAGUAUUAUUAGAAUUUUUACUCUAAUAAAUAUUUAAAUCUUAAUUAAUUUAUUUUUAGUAAAUUUAAAUAUUUAUUCUAAUCUAAUUAGAUUUAUCCUCUAAUUAAUAUUUAAAUCUUAAUUUAUUUUCAACAGAUUUAAAUAUUAAUUCCUAUCCAACUAGAAUUAAUCUAUAAAUCUAACUAUCUAUAUAAAUUAAUGAAUCCUCAGUUUAGAUGCAACGUGACAUCUUUGGGGAAAAGGGGAGGGAGCGGGCGGAGGCGGGGUUUCGGCUAGCUUUUUUUUUUUUUUUUCAUCUUCCUUUUUUUUUCUUUAUAAUUAAACCUAAUUAUUCUUUCUCAUUAUAAAAAUUUUAAAAUAUAUAAUAUUUUAUAUAUAAUUUUUAAAAAUAAUUUAGAUUAUAUAUAUUAAAUAUAAUGUAAUAUCCCUGGAGUUCAGUAUUUGAGACUUGUCGACAGCUUUGGAGAGUGUCAGGACAAGUCGGAGUCGUUUUGGAGCGAAAUAGAUGCCAAACUAACUCAGUACAACGCAAGAGCAGAGUUUGAUAUUGAAAUCUGCAAAGUGUAGGUUUCAAUAUUGAGUACCGGUGCGACAUCGGGCUGGUACUGGUACUCCAGCUGUAAAUGGAGUUGGUGAGGGCUAGGGAUGUCUUUUUGUUGUGGAUAGCCACACCACUACCUCUCUCUCGUAUUUAUCCACCUGAGGGUGAGUAGGUGGCUUAAUUAUGCUUCUCUCUCAAGUGUUAAUUAUAUGUUUGUGGAGGCCACGACGGGUUGAGCUUGGGCCAUCGUCAACGUCACGCCGCGGUGCCGUUCGAGCCUACGUUUGUCGUCGUAGCAUCGCGAGGAGGCCGGGCGAGGGUGUGUUACCAUCGUCCUCGACGUCGCACAGAUACUAGGAUCGCUGUCGAUGUGAGUGUGCCGUCAAAUUGCUUCUUUAUUUUCAAACUUCUUCAAUUCGAGCUAAUUGCUGAUUUGCAGAUUUCCAGCGUCGACUGUCGGCGUUUUGGCUCAUACUCGGCGUAGGAGCAUCGGAUUUGGAUGGGAUUUGGUUCGUUGGAUUCAGGACUUCGAGAGGAAUCCACGAAACCCUUAUUUGCUAGAUUUGGUAAAGGUUUGCUAGCUCGUAUCCCUAUUUCUUUCUGCUGUUGUUGCGUUGGGCAGAAUCGAGGUUUAUUGUGGGCUUCUAUGUUUAGACCCGUGGAGCGUGUUGUUGCUGGUUCGGGGAGCUGCGCCGAGCUUGACAGGGACUCCGGUGACCUUCUUCACCGUCGGGGAUUUGUGAUUAAGGUGGGUUUUCAUCGGAUUACUCCUAAGUACAUGAGUAAAUAUAUAGUCGGCAUGUAUACUUGUUGUUUGAUCUAUAAUGUGAUUAGAUUAAAUUCAUUUAUUAGCCGUGACUGUACUCUGAAUUUAAGCAUACUAAAUAAGUGUUAAUUAUAUAUGUUGGACUUGAGAAUUGAAUUAGGAGAAAAACCAACGAUUUGGACCUGUCACUUGUUUACACUACCUGAUUUAGCUCUAGGAGCCGUUGCAAUUUUGUAUCGUCGCAGUAUCUAGGCGACGGGUACUCCAGGUAGUUUAACUUUCAGUUACGCUCGUGCUAGAAUGCCGAGUGUAUUUUUACAGUAGCGUUCAGACUGUUUCGGACUGUUAGGUGCCGUCCGGGUUGACGGUGGACCCGUAUCGGCUUUUUGGCGUUGGAUUGUGCCGAGAGCACGUUACCUGUUGAUUGUUAGACCAGUUUGAGUCAGUCACUGGACUUUGGUUUUUGAGAGUCUGAUUGAGCUCGACAGAGAUACGCUGCAUACUCGGUUGAGUAGCUCCCACGAGUGCCACUCCGGAGUCGGGCGCUGUGCUUUCGCGUUGGUGUCGCUCAUGCCGGUUGGACUUGCUCUCCACGGACUAAUAGUGUAGAGAUAGCUGGAUAGUCACAACUGGGCAGGGACGGGUGUGUUCACAAUCCCAGGGACGGGUAGGCUUACAGUCCCGAUUGGAUUGGGUCAGAUUUGACAUUUCCUACAGUUGGUUAGUGUAGAGCAUGAUAGUGUAGUGAUUCAUAGCGGUAGAUUUUAUUCCUGCAUUUACUACUAUCUUUACUCCCUUCUGUAGACUUAGUGGGUCGACCGAUACUGUUGAGGGCGGCACCCACUGAGGACUACCUGUUUUUACAGUAGUUCUCACGCCGUGUUGUUACCCACUGUUUUUGCAGAGCCAUCGUCGUCGGCUGCUGCUGUCGCAGAUCAGGAUCGAGGCAAGGGCGUCACGAGUUAGAGCCCUACCAGACGUGCCGAGCUAGAGGUGCCCCUACUGCAGGUAAAUAUUUUGUUUUGAGUUCAUGUAUAUAGUAUACUUAACUCGCCAGUGCGAGUAGCUCUGUAUUUUUGGUUGUUGAACUAUGUAUAUGGAAUUCCGUUUGUUUAGCUUCUGUUUACUCUAACAGCUUUAUACUACUGUUUGUAGUAUUGUACGAUUUACAGGUACAGCUGUCGCUUCGUAUAUAGAAAAAAUUUCUUUGUAUACAGCGGAUUUGUCGGCGUGUCCGGGGAACGUGUAAUCCGGGGCGUGACAUAUAAAUUUUGAUUUCAUAAUAUUAAUCACUUAAAUAUAAAUUGUACAACAAAAAAAAGUGAUUAAUUAACUUAUUUUAAUUAAUGUCGUUGCGACAAUUGCACAGUUCAAUAACAUAUUUAUAGCCUAAUAAGCGAUCAACUCUACAUUCAAAAUUUUCUUGAAUACCCAAAAUAUAAUUGUUUAGCUUUUAAUUUUAACAACUAGGUAUUCUAAAAUUUGUUAGAUAGUUUAACAAUUUUUUUUUCGAAUGAAAUUAUUAAUUGAAUAAAACCGAUCGACGCUUUCGCCUGGAAUAAAAAUAAAAAAUCAAAAGAUAAAUUACACUUUUCGUCCUCAAAACUAUAAGACAAGUGAUAUUUUAGUUCUCGAACUUUAAUUUGUUAUGGUUUAAAUUAUAAAACAUGUGACAUUUCCGUAGGUCCUUAAAUUUGAAUUAGUUAUAAUUUCUAGCUUAAAAAAUAAGGUAUAUCAUUUUAGUCCUCAACAUUUAUUACUACUAUAAAUAUAAUUUAUUAUUCUUAUUAUUUUGCUCUUAUUUUUUUUUAAUUAUUCUUAUAUUUUUAUUACAACAGUAGUUGUUUAAUUCUUCUUCAAUUAUUUUUUUAAUAAAUCCUUAGACUCUUUUUUUAUGCUAUUUUAUUAUUUAAUUUUAUUUAUUUAUUUAUUUUAUGAAAUGGAUCCGCUGCAACGUCCGGUACUUUCACUAGUACAUAUUAUAAAUCCUUAGUUGAAUCCAUGUGGCACAACCAUAGUGGUGGGAAUGAGGUGGGCCCAGCUCAAUUUUUUUUUUGUUUUUAUUUUUUUUCUUGAUUUCUUUCUCUCUUCUAAUUUGGACUAGAGUAUUGGAUUAUUUUUUUUAAUCCAACCCAAUUCUUCUCUCUCAUUAUAAAAGUUUAAAACAUAUAAUUAUUUUACACAUAACUUUUAAAUAGUUUAGUUUCAUAUAUUACCUAUAAAUUUUAGUAAUAUUAAUCACUUAGAUAUGAAUUGUAUAAUAAAAAUUAAAAGGGAGAUUGUAAAGUUAAUUAUUUAUUUUAAUAAAUUUAGUUGUGAAAAUUGUAUAGAGUAUAUAUUAAUUAAAUCUGUAAAACCAAAUAGUGCAUUCAAAUUUUGAUAUCAAAGUAUCAUUUACUUACUCAAAUUUAACAUAUUGAUAGAUUGGAUAGUAAAAAUAAAUUUUGAAAUGUUGGAUAACUAAUUCAAAAUGAUUCAUAAUUCAAAGAAGUUCUAUAUAUUUUUUACUUUGAUAUCAAACUUCAAUAUCAUAUUUAUAAUUUAAUGUACCAUUAACUUUAUUUUUUAAAAUUUUUGAAAAUAUACAAAAUAUGAUUGGUUAAUUUAUAAUUUUAACGAGUAAGCCUCCUAAAAUUUAUUAGAUAGUUUUACUGAUUUUUUUUGAAUGAAAUUACUAAUUGAAUAAAAUCGAUAGAUGCCCAACUCUAUCUUCGUCUGGAAUAAAAAUGAAACAUAAAAUGGUAAAUAACGCUUUUGGUCCUCAAACUAUAAGACACGUGGUACUUUAUUGCUCCAACUUUAAUAUGUUACAAUUUCUGACUCAAACUACGAGACACGCAACACUUUAAUCCUCAAAUUCUAAUUCAUUAUAAUUUCUGAAUCAAAGUGUACAUGCGUGUCGCCUCGUCGAGCCGCAGGCGAGCUGCAGGUUCAAGCCGUCACCUGCGCGUCGCCUCGUCGAGCCGCAGGCGAGCUGCAGGUUCAAGCCGUCACCUGCGCGUCGCCUCGUCGAGCCGCAGGAUCAUCUACAAAUCCGACCCAACUCCUCCACCAUGUAACCCUCCAUCCCUCUUCGUGCCCUAAUUUUCUAAUCUAUUUUUUCCUGUUUUUUUUUCAAUUGUUCUUUUUCUCUUUAAAUUAACUGGAGAAUCAUCCCACCAUCCAGAUCUACCAGGUGUCAUCGUCGCGGUGGAAAUCGCUGAGAAAUCGCUGAAGAAUCGUAGGUUGUAGAACUGGGGUAGUAAAAAUUACUAAAUCAUUCUACUCUUUAAUAUUUCGCCUCGUUUUUUAUUUUUUUUCUAAUAUUUAAACGUGAAUAAAUGUAGGUCGGGUGGUGAACGAAAAGGGGCUUUUGCCACAGCAACGUGAGAAUCCAAUUAUUCGGUUUUAUUUUAUUCUAUUUUAUUUUUUCUGGUUUCAUAAUUGCUGAAGCAGUUUUUACUAACUAGUAGAAAUAUAUGGCUAAUAAUAAAUAAUAUUCGACCAUCAAAUUUCAAAUUUGUAUAUAUAAGAUUGCUUGACAAUUUUACACAUUAAUAUGUAGCUAAAAUUUUGCAAUCAAUUUGUUUGCUUUAGUAUUGAGAACCACCGUCGAGGUUGACCCACUUGGAGACGGGGACCGCCGCUAGGCCCAGCAGCGCCGGCUCCUUGGCCCCAACUGGUCCUCAACUUGUCCCCUACUUCGACUUCACCUGGAGCGAGGUGAGUUGGAACUUUAAAUGUGGUCUCUCGUGUUUCAAAUGCACUUUGGAUUCUUAUGGCUUUUCAGAGAUCAUAGAUCUUACUCCAUCUUAGCUCCACAAGUGGAAGUGUGAUUUGAGUUGCUUUGAUUCUGAACCCAAAUAGAAUAGGAAAGGAUUUGAUCCCCAUGUUUAAAUGUUCUCUGGUCUAUUUGGUAAUUUAUUGCUUCGAAUUUAAAGGCAUGAGGAGUAGGUUAUUAAUGAUAGUUGCUCUUGCUAUUUGAAAUAGGCAAAGGUCCAAACUUUCUUAUAAAAAAGUUUGCUAUUUGAAAUAGGCAAAGGUCUAGUUGCUCUUGCUUCGAAUUUAAAUAAUUAUUUAUUUAUUUUUAUAAAAUUAAUCCGCUGUAAUACGCGAAUGCCUUCAGCAGUGCUUGUUCGUUACGUAGGAGUAAAUUUUCCACUGUCAAUUGCAUUUGGGGUUCUAGAAGGUUCGUAUAGUCGCAAUAUAUUUUAAUGCAUUUCGCUUUCAAAAUAUAUAACCCACUAUUAGUGGUGGGGAAAAGGAUAAAACGUCGAGUCAUCUCAACAGAAAGCAUGUGGACGGUGGAUCACACGCUCUCAUAAAAGAGAAGUGCUUCUAGAAACAUGGUUUUCAAAAUGGACCAAACUUUCUUAUAAAAAAGUUUUUUUUUCACCACCCAUUCUCGUUUCGCCUAACGUUUUUAAAGCUGUGACAGCUCCACUCCUCUAGAUAUGAUUUUUUUAAAAUUUUUUUUCAUUGAAAAUUAUGAUAAACUUCAAAUACCAUCUUCUUGAUUUUACACUUUCUCACUUUAAUAUCAUGUGGUUUAAAGUGUAUUAAGUUAGUGUCCUUUGAUUUUAUUUUUAUCUUUUUAUCAGUUUUUUCGUUAAUAUUUUGUUAAAUUAUAUACAAAAAACUUUAAAUUCUAUCUAGAUUUAUCAAAUAUUCAUUUUAAUAUCUUUUUGUGAGAUACUGAACCUUGACAAAUUAGCAAGAUUACAGUAUAAGUUAUGCUUGAUUGAGCUCGAGACGUUUUGCACAAAAUAGACGUAAAAAACGGACUUUGAAACUCAAGUUUCAAAGUAGAGGACUAAAGUUGAAUAUCGUAGUAGGUGAGGGGCUUUUGGAUAAUUGUCGCCUUUCAAUCUUAUCCCACCGCCUUAAUUAGGAUAAGGUGGCAGGUGGAGAGCUCGAGCUCGGGAGGUUUUCGUCGUCGACGUCGCGCCGUGGUGCCGUUCAAGCAUACGUUUGUCGUCGUAGCAUUGUGAGGAGAUCGGGCGAGGGUGUGAUUCCGCCGUUCUCGAUGUCGCGCCGGGUUGAAUUUAGCUACCAAGGUGGGUUUAUCAUCGGAAUCCUACUCCUAUAAUAUUGUUGGUCGACAUGUAUCAUUAAUAUUACAAGUUGUUAUUGUUUAGCUCAAAUUCACGAGUUGGUAUGUUGUAGACAUAUAAACUAAAUUGGUGGCAUAUUAUUAGUUGUUAUUAAUUAUACAUAUUGGACUUGGAUAAAACAUAGGAGAAAACCAGUGUUCGGGACCUGGCAUAUGUUAAACUACCUUAUUUAGCCCUAGGGGCCGUUGUAUUUUUAUACUGUUGCAGUAUCCUCAUAGUGAGUAUCCCAGAUAGUUUAGAUUUCAGUUAUGCUCGUGCUGGGAUGCCGAGGCGAUUUUUACAGUAGUGUUUACAGAUUUCGGAUUAGUGGGUGCCGUAGUGGUUGACGGCGGACCCGGAUUUGAUCGUUCCGAUAUCAGAUUGUGCCGAGGGUAUGUGACUAGUGGUUGGUAGUACGUACUGUUAGACCUACUUUCUUGACUUUAGCCUGUGAGAGCCUGAUUGAGCUCGAUAGAGAUACGAUUACAUACUCGGUUGGGUCGCGCCCAUGAGUGCCGCUCCGGAGUCUGGUUUUGUGCUUUCGCGUUGAUGUCACUGAUUAGUUGCUAUCCACGGACUAUUUAGCGUGGUGGUAGCGCGGCUUAGACAAGCGGGACGGAUGCGUACACAGUCCCUAAUGAGAUUUGGUUAAAAGUGACAGUAGACACAGUUGGAUAGUGUAGUGGCAUGUAGCUGUGGAUUUCUUUCCGGGUUUACCUUUUAGCCUUGUUUCCUACUGUAGUCUUAGUGGGUGAGCCGAUGAUUUUGAGGGCGGUACCCACUAAGGACUACUUGUUUUAUAGUAGUUCUCACGCCCAGUUGUUACCACUGUUUUGCAGAGCCAUCGUCUUCGGCUGCUGCUGCUGUUGCUGAUUCAGAGCGAGAUAAGGGCGUCGCUAGUUAGAGCCCUACCAGUCGAGUUGCUGUAAUAGAAGAGCACCUGUUGCAGGUAAUAGUAUUUUGUUAUUUUGAGUUCAUGUACAUACCCGAAUUGUAACUCGCUGGAGCGAGUACUUUUAUACUUGGUUAUUUUGUAUGUAUAUGAGACUUGUUUUAUUCUACCUGUUUAAUUUCAUUACAGCUCUAUACUACUGGUUGUGGUAUUGUAUGUUUUACAGUUACCAUUACGUUUCGUAUACAAGAAAAAUUCUUUAUAUACGACGGAUUUGUCGGCGUGCCCGGAGAACGUGUAAUCCGGGGCGUGACACUUUUAGUUUUAACUUUGUCACUGAUUUAACGAAAAAAAUUAGUGGAAUCGAUAAUAAAAAGAUAAAAAUCAUGAAACCAUAAAACACUAAAUUGAUAACAUGUUAAAUCAUAGGGUACUAAAGUGAGAAAGUGUGAAACCGCAAAGAUGAUAUUUAAAAUUUUUCCUAAAAAUUAGAAUAACUUCACCAAUAAUCUUCUAAAAAAUUAUUAUUUUAUAAAAUACCCUUCCAAAGUUGAAAAUAUCAUUAAUACCUUUAUAAAGGCCAAAAAUAUUCGUUAGGAAAAUAAUCUGUCAAAAUACAUCAUCUGUUAUUUUUAAAAUAUUAUUUUGCACCUGAUAUCAAUUUUAAAAAGUGUGAAAUUUAAAGUUAGUAAGAUGAUUAGUUUUAAAAAUUUGAACUGUAUAUUAACUCAAAUUUACUCUUUAAAAUUUUUAUUAAAUAUUUAUAGUUUAUUAAAUAUAAUAUUUAGGUUUUUUUAUUUUUUGCUAUUAAAUUAUAUAUAUACUUGUCAAUAUUAGCAUUCAAUGUUAACAAAAGAAUUAAUAAAUUUUUAAUUCUAUGUAAAUAUCUUACAAACAUGGCAGAAAAAAAAUUUUGAUUGCCAAAAUUCUUAGUAGUAAAGUGUUUCUCAUGUGGCAUUUAUGUAAAAAAUCCAUCUUCUACAAUAAAGUAAAAAUAUGUAAAAUUCCUUUCAUCUAUAGGCCAUUUUGCACGACCCUUUUAAUUUUACCUGAUGAANCGAAUCGACGAUCGGCUCCGUUAGACUUGAUCUAGUGUAUUUGAAGUAUUUAGAAAAUAAAUUUUGCGAUUUUUCGAUAUCAUUUAUCUAACAAUCGAAAGUGUUCAAAAUCAACGGCUGAAAAUAAAUAUCUCACAAAAAGUGAUAAUAUAGCACUAAAAUUUUCAAUCAGAGAUAUUGAUCUUGUUGUGAAUAAUAUAAAAAAUUUUCUAUCAAAAUUUUAUCUGAUUUAAAUAUUUCUAUAUCAUUAAACUUGCAAACGGUAUACAUCAACCAUUAAAAAUUAUUGAUUCUGAACCUUUUUGAUUGCUAGGUAAAUGAUAUCGAAAAAUCACAAAAUUUAUUUUCUAAAUACUUCAAAUACGCUAGAUCAAGACUAACGGAGCCGAUCGUCAAUUCGAAAACUCUAUCAUUGAAAAGGGCUUAGAAGUACAAAGGCCUCCGUGCUCCUAAUAGCACAUAAGAUCUACUAUAUAUAUAACUGAUCAUCCCUAGCGCAAGUGGCAAAGGGCUUGGUGGUUGGUAUUCGAGGUCCGAAGUUCGAAUCCUAGUUGAUUCACAUUUUUAGCUAAGUUUAUUUUUAAAUGAAAUAAACGAAGCGGGUAGCAUGCUACCUAUCUCUCCCGAAAAAAAAAAAAAAAAUCUACUAUAUAUACUACUAUAUAUAUAUAUAGAGAGAGAGAGAGAGAGAGAGAGAGAGAGAGAGAGAAAGUUGGGUUGGAAUACUAUUGAUAGUAUUUGCUCCAUUUUACUAUCAAAUUUUUAUCCUUUGGAUGAGAAAUUGUAGGAUUAGUAUGAUAUUAGUCUUUUAGGAUUGAUUGAGUGAUCCUUCUAGGGUUGAGUGGUCAUCACUAGGCUAUAAUAUUUAAUCAAAUGAUUAGAAAUGAUCAAAGAAAUUGAUCUAAAAGUUAAAAACUUGAUAGCAAAAUGAGACAAAUACUAUUAAUAUUAUUCUAGCCCAACUCUCUCUCUCUCUCUCUAUAUAUAUAAUGUAAAAUAAUUUCGGGUUAGGAUUGUGUUCGGAGUCAAAUCAGGUACAAUCAAAAUCCAUACUUGAAUUUAAUUUCGUUGGAUUUUUAUUUUUUUAAUCUAUAUCUGAAACUAUAUCUAUUUAGUAUCGAAUAAAUUCACUCUGUUCGAAUUCAGAUUCGGAUAAAAUUUCGAAUAUCCAUAUGCAUCGACAUUCCUACCUCUCUCUCCUUACCCUUUCCUCUCCCUUCACCUUCCCUCAUCCUCCCCAAUCUGUUGACGACCUCCUUGUCACCGCCUUGCCAAUGCCAUGGAUAGCUACGACCUACGACCAUCCUAUCAUCCUCCGCCUUCUUUUUCCCUUUUUUUGUUCUUCUUUCUUUUACGUUCUUUCUUCAUUAAAGAAAAUUUUGUUUCUUCCUUUCGUUUUCUUCUCAGUUCUUUCUUCAUCAAGCAAAUAUUGCGCCAUUUGAAACUAUAUUAUAAUAUUUGAUAAGUUGUUGCAUAAUUUGAGGAGACGAAGGUUUGGAAGGCUUUGUUGGGAAGAUAGUGCUUGAGUGAAGUAGUGGGUACAAUAUUAGGUUAGCAAUGUGGGCGCCUGUUUGAGUCUCCUGGUGGAAUUGUAGCUUCCUUUUAAAGUACUCACUGUAACAUACUUAGAUAAUUAAGAUGUUUUCUAAUGUAGCACUAAACGAAAAGGUAGUAGUGGGCACACUAUUAAGAUCAAGAUAGUGCUUGAGAGUUACACUAUUAGGUAGAUAGUCACCACUACAAAUACAAAACGUCGUUCUCUACCGAUCUAAACUUUUAACAACGGCCGUUUCGUACUAUUUAGUAUAACGUCAGAGAUAAACAUUAUGAGUUCGAGCCACGCCACACUUCGAAUAUAGUUAAUUUUUUUCUAUUUAAUUUAAGCUCACGCUAUGGGUUUAUCAGAAUGUUUUAAACCAAGACGUGAAGAGAAGUUUUAAAUAAUAAAAAUAUUAUUUUUCUAACAAUUUUUUACAAUUAAAAUGGGCUUAUGUGCUUUAAUUAUUGAGUGGCCCUCCCUCCCUCAAUUGAGUGAAAUAACUUUUAAGUUAAAAUAAACAAAAAAUUGAGAUGGUGCCAAUCGAAUUUAAAAAGGAAACUCAUUGUGGAGAGCCCAACUAAGGCCUAUUGGGCCCAAUCAACUACAUAGCCCACAUAAAAUAAUGUUCCCCGCACUUCCUCGUCCGCUUGACCCUGUUUGGAUACAUGUCCAUCUUAUUCGGUAAUGUCACUCUUCGACUUUAUAAACAUUUGUAUUUAGGAGGUGAAAAGUGUGAGCAAAUGUCUAUAACAAAUAUCAUAUUCACAUUAGAUUUAUGUUUUUAAGAAUAAGAUAAAUCAUCUUAUUAAGUGAAAUACAUCAUUUUAUGAAAUUAUAGGUAAAAAUACCUCUCAAAGUUUAAAAAAAAAAAAAAGUUAUUGAUGUCGUGCUUGCUUUUUUAUUUUUUAAAUAAAUUUUGUACAUAAAAAGGUGUAGCAGUGGACAUAAAAGUAUAGAUUGUUUGUAAUCCUUCGUUUCAGAUGUUUAUUUGAGAAUAAAAAAGAAAACGUGGAAACAACUUUUCCUUACUUCUCACUUUUUUUUUUUUUGAACAAGUUUGUCGUUGCAUUGUAAGCUAACCGAUUAUAACAACAUAAGAAAAAUAUUUCAUCCAACAUAUUAAAUUUUAUAAAACUAGUGUUUAAAAAUUUUUAAAAAUAGCAACGAUACAAGAGGAGAUCUAAAUUCCUGAUUUCCAAUCAUACAAAAAUAUCUUGAGUUAAUUUCUUCAAUACCCUCCAGAAAGGUUGUGAUUUUAUAAAUACCCCUUCAAAUUGUAAAAUAUCAUUGGUAUCCUCAUCCUUAUAUGCAUUAAAACAUAUGUAGGGUUAGGGGUGUAAUGUGGGCCGUGCCGGGCUGGCACGGCCCACGGCCCAAUUUUUCUAUCCUCUGGCCCGACACGGCCCUUUGGCCCGGAAGGCACGGGCCGUGUCAGGCUGGGCCGUGCUUCGGGCCGGCCUACAAAGUAUUUAUUUUUUAAAAUUUUUUAAAAAAUUUAGUAUGAAAUUUAAAAAUAUAAACAAUAAAUAUUUUUAUUUAAAUUAAUAUUUUGAUUAAAACAUUAAAAAAUUAUAAAAAUAAUUAUACUAAAGUAAAUAUUUAUUUUUUUAAAAAAAUAAAUAAAUUUGUAUUAUUUAUUUUAAAUAAAUAUAUUAUAGACUUUUGGUCCAAUGCACCAAAAAGUCUUUGGUCCAUUGGACCAAAAGUCCUCCUCAGACCUUGGGAGGAGAGCUCCUGGGGAGGGCCGAGCUCUUCUCCCCAGGAGCUCAGAUCCCAUGGCCCAAGGCAAUUGCCUUCGGCCAUGGGGUGCGGGCCGGGCUGGCCCGGCUGGCACGGCCCAAGCCGGCCAUGUCGUGCCGGGCCGCCCGCCUACCCUCGACCCGGUACGGCCCAGGCCCGAUUCGGCCCGUCGGACUCCAAAAUGGUGGCCCAGCACUGCCCAGGGCUUCGUGCCGGCCCAGCCCGGCACGGAUACUACACUACCCGUGUCAUGCUGUGGCCCGGCCCGAGGCCGUGCCGGGCCGGGUGGCCCACGUGCCGCCCGGCCCGUUUUACAUUCCUAUGUAGGGUUUAAACUUCAGGUUUGGAGUUUAGAAUGUUGUUUGUGAUAGAUUUAUAUAAUUAGAAGAGUACGAAUGAUAAAAUUAUAUGAUUAGAGGGGUAAAAGUGAUAUUUGGAUUUUGAAGGGACAUAUAUAAUAUUUUGAGAGUCCAGGGAUACUAUCGAUAUCACUAAAAUAAGUGCUUAGCGCUAUCAAAUUUUCUGCCGUUAGAUUUAUUCCUUUCAGCAUUUAUAUCCAUUAUAUCACACUAUUCAACCAACCACCCACUUAACUCUAGAAAACCACUAUCAACCUAAUUGGAAAUCACCAUCAUCCUAACCAUAUACUUUUUCAUUCAAAGGCCAAAAUCUAAUAGUGUCGAUGACUUAGUGCGAUUAAUAGUAUUCUAGCCAAAUUCAAUAUUUUGAAGUGUAAAAGGAUUAUGUUUUAAUAUCUUCGGUUAAUUUGAUUAAUACCCUCCAGAAAAAGGUCUUCAUAGUUCUAGGGGUAAAACAUUUCGAAUACUGUGGGAUUUUUGAUAGAACCAUAUUCGCAUCCCUAUUGUUCUUUGAAUGUGAAUUUUCAUUACCAUAUAUCCGCUAAAACCAUAUUCAGAUUUGGAUAUGGAUCAGUUUAUAUUUGAAUGUUAUUUAAUAAUAGUAUAAAUAUAAAUACAAUUAUAAUAUGAAAAUCAUAAUAAAAUAAAUAAAAAAUAUAAUAAAAAAUUACUUUAUCUUCCAACAAAUCAUAUGAUACUAAAGUGAAUAUUCAAUAAACCAUAUGGGGCAUCUGAAGUUUUUUUUUCUAUAUAUUUUAAUAGAGAGUUAACGGAGAGAAUAAUAAAAAAAAAGAAAAAAAAAAACACAGGAGUAUUAAAGUUAUAUACUUUAAACCAUGAAAUAUUAAAAUAAAAAAAAGCUAAAUCACAAGAAAGAUAUUUGGAACAUUUUUAAAUUUUAACAUUUAUAUUUACAUUCUAUCGAAUCCUCCAUUGAAUUCGAGCAGAGUUUACCCCAGCCACUUUCACCGCUCCAUUACCGUUCAGGGGCUAUUUGGAUACGCAGUAAAAAAAUUUCAGAGAGUUUAAAUAUCAUAAUUUUGGUCCAAUUGAAAUCGAGAAUCUUAUAACUCGAAAAAAAUUUUAAGAAUUUAUUUUAAAAACCGUUUGGAUACCCAUUAUACAAUUCAACGGGAAGAGGAGUUGGGCCCAAAAAAAGGCCCAAGCCCAAGUCCCCUUCAAAUUGCGCUUCGGUUUUUCUCAGUUUUCGAGAAACCCCAUUAGCGCCGCGGGGGAGGCGAAACUGCGUUUGGGAACGCGCUUCCGCGGCAGCAGCGGCGAUGACGACGCGCAUCGCCCCCGGCGUGGGCGCGAACCUCCUCGGCCAACACUCCGCCGAGCGCAACCAAGACGCCACCACCUACGUCGGCAACCUCGACCCCCAGGUUCUAGGGUUUCCCCCACUUUCUCUUUUUUUUUUUUCUUUUUUUUUUUUUUUUAUAGCAUUUCUAUCCUUUAUUAUGCGGAUUGUUUUACAAUUUUAACUGAUAAUUCGUCAUUUUUUUUUGGUGGAUUAUUCGGUAACCUCCCAUUGUUGCAAUUAGGGCUUGUUAGGGUUUUUGGUGAUGUGAUGGGGUAGGUUCUGGUACAAUUUUGAGAUCGUUCCUAAAUCUAAUCGUUCUACUAUGUUUACGGGGCUUUUAUUAGGGUUUAGUGUUUGGAUUUAGAAGCUGCUAGGAUUCUUAGGAUUAUUAGCACUUAUUUUUUAUCUGAUAGAUUUGUCAUUUCUUUCUUGAUUAUGUCGCAAUUUUUCAUUAUUGUAAUUUGGGUUUUAUGAGUUGGAUUUUUUUUUUCCCCUCCCCCCGGUGAUGUUGGGGUAGGGUUUGGUUACAGUUUUGCUAUAGUUUGUUAAUCUAAUCGUUCUACUAUGUUUAUGACGUUUAGGGUUUAGGGUUUAGAUUUGGGAACUAUUAGGCUUCUUGGGAUGAUCACUGUAGUUUUUUUUUUUUUUUUUUUUUUUUUUUUUUUGCGGAAAUUUUUCGAUGUAGGAGCUGCAUACGGAAGUAAGGUUUGAAGCAGUUUUUAUACUUUGAAUUAUAUGCAAAUGUUAUUUUUAGGUUGGAAUGUAUGUAUGUAUGUAUGUAGACCACCUCAACUCUAGGGCAUUUUGAAAAAGUCCCAUGAAUUUUCUUAUUUAUGAUUGACACUCCCUUAGUUCUCAUCUUUGUUAAUCGAAUUGGGGAAUGAGAAUAAUGGUUACGACAAUUGUAAAAAUGUUGAUGAGAGGGCAUAGAAGAAAGAAAUAAGGGGGAAACGUAUAUAUCCAAAUAUAUCCAAAUUUUUCUGAAUGAAUUUCUUAUAUUGAACCUUCUUUUCAAUCUCUUUGAGUGGACCCUUCUCUUAUUUCAGGUAUAUAUACUUUAGUUGUAAGGAUCUUUGAAUAAUUUUUCACAAAUAACUUUAUUUUCUUCUGGAGUAUCUUUAUUUCUUUGAGUGGUUUUUCACGUAACCAUUGUCUCUCUCAAGUAAAUUCCACUCUGAGAAACCAUGUAUUUGCUCUUCUUUAUUUUGUAUGUCAAAAAAUUUUCGGGCGUUUCAUCGUUCUUGUUUGGAUUAUGUCGAUGUUCAUUUUCUAGGUUUCAGAGGAGCUUCUCUGGGAGUUGUUUGUUCAAGCAGGUCCUGUUGGUAAGUUGCAAAUCGCCUUUUCGUUUGUCCUUUACUGAGAUCGUUAUAUUCUCUGGGAAGAUAUUGUCCCUCCAGCACAUUAGAGGGCACGUUUUCUCUGGUAAUGUCUAGAAGGGCAAUAUCUCUCGACCACAAGGCAAUAUUUGCCGAUUCUGAGUCUAGAAGAACAAUAUUCUCUGUAUUUUGAUUAUUAAUAUUUCUUUGCAGUCAAUGUUUAUGUCCCGAAAGAUAGAGUUACAAAUCUACACCAAGGAUAUGGAUUUGUGGAGUUCCGUAGUGAGGAAGAUGCUGAUUAUGUAAGUAUCAAAAUUUCUGUGCAAGGCUAAUUGGUUUUCAAUGUUCAUCAUAUCAUUAGAUUUGAUUUGUAGUAACUGGUUUAAUUGAUGGUGCGAAUGUUGCAGGCUAUUAAGAUUUUGAACAUGAUUAAAAUAUAUGGGAAGCCAAUCAGGGUAAAUAAGGUGUGUAUGGUUUCACUUUCAUCAAUACAUAUCAAAUACUUGUACUUUCAAUAUUCUUCUUUGGAGCUCUGCACAAACAAGUUGUAAUCAUGUUCACCGGUGUGCGGGACUAUUUUCAGCAUAGUUUAUACUAGAAUUCACUUCUUUUUUUCUUUUUUUUUUCUUGUUUCAGGCUUCCCAAGACAAGAAGAGCUUGGAUGUGGGUGCAAACCUUUUUGUUGGUAAUCUUGAUCCGGUAAAUAUUUCCUUUUCAAGAAAAUUGUUCUGUUGGUAAUCUUGAUUCGAUAAAUUUCUCUUUUCAAGAAGUUCAUUCAUUCACGCAUAGACAUGUUGCUGAUUGUUUUUCCUUUGGUAUUCUAAUUGCAGGAUGUGGAUGAAAAACUUCUCUAUGAUACCUUCAGUGCUUUUGGAGUAAUUGUAACAAAUCCCAAGGUGACAUACUCCACUUUUUUUUACUGUCAUUUUGGCUUUUUAUAAUACACUGAUAGUAAUAUGAUAUUAGUUAUGAGUUAUUUGAACUUUUGGUUUAUUAGUUUUUCUAUUAUACAUUUUUUGUGCAAUUUAGUGCAUAAAUUAAUGAUAUCCCUCUUGUCCUUUUGCAGAUAAUGAGAGAUCCCGAAACUGGAAAUUCUCGAGGUUUUGGUUUUGUUAGUUAUGAUUCCUUUGAUGCAUCUGACGCAGCAAUAGAGGUAUUUUUCAUUGAUCUAGAUAUUGUGUAAAUAGAUUUGUGAACUGCUUUAGUGUUCUGCAAUUACUGAUGCUCUCUAGCUUAUAUAUUCUGAUUCUAAUUAAUUUCAUUUCCCUUUGUAUCUGAAAAUCUGUGUAUAGGCGAUGAACGGACAAUAUCUCUGUAAUCGUCAAAUCACCGUCUCUUACGCAUAUAAGAAAGAUACAAAAGGAGAACGUCACGGCACUCCUGCAGGUAUGUCACUGCCUAAGAGUUCUUCCUUGCAAAGCCGAUAAUAUCUUUUCAACCUCCUGAUUUAUUGUUAAAUUUUCAAGAUGGAGUGGAUCAGUUUAUGAGAUUAGAUUUAGGUGCUUUACCGAUGCUGAUCUCUACGAUUCACCAUCCUGUACAUUUCUGUGCACAAGAAUUCUAAUGGGGCAAAAUCAUAUUUUGCACGUCCUCCGUCCUUUGCAAUGAAGUUAAUAAUGUGCAAUGCCGUAAUACCCCUGGAUUGAUCUCUAGGAUCUCCUGUGUACUUGUAUAUACAAUUGUGAUUUCCUGUGGAAGAAUGAUUCCGGUGUGCUUGCCUUUUGGCAUACUGGAUCAUGCCGACAUCCUAUAUGGGCUAUCUGCCUUGUUUGGAAAUGGUAUUUAGCAUCCUUUUUAUUUAUUUAGGAUCACUCAACUUCUAUGUUUGAAAAUGCAAGUGCAAUGAAAUAGCAUACGGUCAUUUUAACUGUAGCUAAUAGAAGCUUUGCUGGAGAAAAUAAGUUGUUGCAUGUCAACUAUUGCUUAAGUAGCUUCUGAGUAUCCUUAUAAAAUAGCUUUGUCUUAGAUAGAUACUUCGGCCAGGGGUCCAGGGUAUUGCUUGGGAUAUUCAACUUGACUGUGAAGUGUGGGGAAUACUGUACACGCUCUCCUGAUCUAGUGUAGAUUGAUCACAUAUCUGACUUGUAUAACUAAUUUAUUUUCUUCCACCUGAAAUAUGCAGAGCGAGUUCUGGCAGCAAGCAAUCCAGGCGCUCAGAAGAAUCGUCCUCACACCUUGUUUGCAAGUGGUCCACCAACACUUCCUAAUGGCCCGCCAGUGAAUGGUGCCGUUGGUGCACCGAUCCCUCGGCCAUUCGCCAAUGGCCCAAUUCCGGCAGCUCAGGUGCCAUCAGUUCGUCCACCGCCGCCACCGAUCGGGCAGUUUCCCCCUCCAGUUCAGAUGGCGCCUCCACCAUCUUGGCCUGCUCAGCCACCACCUGGCCAAAAUUUUCAUCCAUCGGCCAUUCCGCCGCCCAUGCAAUUCAGGCCUCCACACAGCAUGCCGCCACCGCCUCCACCUGCGGGUAUGGUAAGGCAGGCACCGCCUCCACCCGCCGGAAUGUUGAGGAUGCCGCCUCCGCCUUCCGGAGCAGGUGUUCUGCCUCCACAUAUGUGGCGACCGCCCCCACCGCCACAACAAGCCGGUGGUAUGCCACCUCAAAUGUCGAUGCAGCCUCCACCUCCCCCACAUUCCGCAGGAUGAGUUCUGUUGAAUACUCUUCAAUUGAUAUUGCCGGUGAAUCUCGUUGCUUGGAGGUAGAAAUUGGAGGAGGAUCUGAGAACGCAUUUCCGUUUCGAUUUUUUUUUUUUGACGUACUUCGGUACCUAACGGUUUUAAUUAAGAAUCUUGUCGACUAACUUCGAUUGCCAGGCAAUCCAAGAAACGGAUGCAGCUUUCUCCGUAUUAUACCAUCCCAGACUUGAUGAAGAUGGUUGUAGAGUAAAUGGUUCCUUGCGGAUUCUCCUCUACUGUUUAGUGCCCUGUAUGACUUACUAGUAAGAACUCGUUGUAGUAUCUCUGGUUUUAUCUGUGGUCCCAACUUAGAUUCUUUCGUGUCGCUUCCGGUGGAACUCUUUGGCUUCCUGGAACUUCUUUUGAGUAGUACGUUUGCCUCAGAUGUAUAAUAAUCGCUCUGAUUAAAUGUUGCAGCCUUAUGUUGUGGAAACAAUGAAAACAUGAUUUAAAUCAUUUUUACUAAGUUAAAUGCGCGUAGUCCCGAAAGUUUGUACGUAGAAAAUCCAUGUUCUGCAUUGUUGUUGAUGAUAUUGACAUUGAUUUUUAUUUGUGCUCAAACUCUUCAUUGAAAGAUUGCCGAAGGCUUGUAGUCUAGUACAUGUACUAGUAAUUUACUAUCAAAGCAUGGACAUGACAAACCCUAUUAAUUAAUUCAUGGUAUCUUAAUAUAUCUAUUAGGGGUCCUUUGUUCAAAGUUUGUCAUAUUUCAAAAAUAUUGUAAAUUAUAUAUUUGAAAUGACUAGUUUAUUACUAACUUAAAUAAACUAUUUAUAAUUCUCAUUAAGUAUGAAAAUGAAAAUAUAUUUUAAUUCAUGAUAAUUUUAUAUUCCUAUCAUGCAGAAAUUUUUAAGGAUUUCGCUACACUUAUAUGUUGGAUAACUCUCCAACUUGAGUCCAAUAAUACGAUAAUGUUUUAAAUAUUUUUUAUUAAAAAUUUAAGAGUAUUAUCAAAAUAUUAUAAACCGUAAAACCAAACGAGCUCAUAGUUUUUAUUUACAAAUCUAUGAUGAUUCUGUUACAACCUUUUAUUACUGCUUCGUAAUUUGAUUUAUAUGAUAAUGAUUUGAAUAUUUUGAGUAGGCAUUAAGAAGGAUUUACAGAAUAUUGCAAAUCGUGAAAUGAACAAUCCGUACGAGAUAAAAACAUGAAAAACAUUUUAUCCACAUAACUUUUUAAUUUGCACUACAUGUAUUUAGGAUUUUUAAUGUCACAACUGUUGUCAUCACCCCUAUAGCCUACGGUGGUUGGUAGCAACGAUUUAAAACCUCGUUGCGGGAUCAGGGAUUACCGAUUAAACAAGUAGGUUGACUAAUGUCCACACGAAUGUCAUAAAUAUUUAUUUAUUAUUUUUUAAUAUUAUAUAUAGUAAAAAUAUAUAUUAAGUAUAGUAUUUUAUAUUAUUUUUUAAAAUUAUCAUAUUAUAUAUUAAUUAAAAAUAUAUUCAAAUAUAAAUUAUUAAAAAAAAAUAAUAUUAUUAAAAUGUAAAGUAAAAAAAAUUCGGCAGGUUCUUUUAAAAUUGGGCCAGUUGACUGGUUGAACCACCACUUUUCUCAACUGGUCAAAACGGAGUUUUGAGUCAGUUCGAUUUAAUGGGUUGAACCGAGCCCGUUUCGACACUGCAUCACGGUUCAACCGGCCGAACCGACUCGGGUUUUAAAACACUGGUUAGUAGCUACGCCCACUCUCAUCAUUAUGAUUGAGGAUUAAAUCCUGCUUCGAGUGAGAUAAGUGGGCGGGCCACUUAGUAUUUGGACCAUUAUUAGUUAAUUCGCGAAUUAUUUAUGAAUUAUUAAAAAUUCGAAUAAAACAGUCUAUAUACAAUUUAUUUCUAAAAAAUCAAAAUAAUACAUGAAUUUUUUGGUUAGAUUUAUUAUUUACGAAUAAUUCGUUUAUACUGAACUAUUCACCGAAUUAUUCGCGGAUUAUUGAAAAAUUUUAUAAACUUUCGAAAUAUAUGGAUUGUGAAAAAGAUGAAGACGGAGACACCAAUAAUUUGCUUUUUUUUUUUUUACUUAAUCUAUUUUAUUUUGUAGCUCUAUUUUUUUAUAUUUUUAAAAUUUUAUAACUAUGUAUGCUAAUAGUAUAAAUCUAGAGAAAAAAAAUAGUUUAAUACCUGAAUUUUUUAUCCUAAAUUGUUAAUUGGUGAACGUAUAGUAUUCGUAAAAAUCGCGUAUAUGAAUAAUUAUUUCUAAACUGUAUUUUUUAACAAAUUAAAAAAUUAAAAUACGAAUUUUAUUUUAAUUAUAUCUGUAUCGAAUUUUUACCGAAUUCUAAUUAACUAACUAUAAUUUGGACCCAAAAAAAAAGAUUUAUUGCCUUCGUGCCAACUGCCGAGCAGUACUGGCAUUAGUGGCUAGCACUGUUUUUUUUUUUUUUUUUUUUUUUUUUUUUUUUGAGAGAUAGGUAGUACGCUAUCCGCUUCGUUUACUUUAUUUAGAAAUAAACUUAGCUAGAAAUAUGAAUCAACUAGGAUUCGAACUUGGGUCUCGGAUACUAAACACUAAGUCCUUACCACUUGUUCUAGGGACGGUCGGUGUGGCUAGCACUGUUGCUUCGUACGCAGCUUGCAGCUUUUGAGGUACGAGCACACAUUUUGAAAUAUUUAGCCGACAAAAUCUAAGCGUGUGAUUGCAAGUUUCCUCCUCUCCCACGAAACUCUGGAUUUUAGUUUGUAACACUAGGGCAGGGUACUACCGUCCCUAGCGUAAAUGAUAAAAAAUUUAAUAAUUGAUAUCCGAGAUCCCGAAUUUGAAUCCUAAUUUAUUUAUAUUUUUAAUUAAAUUUAUUUCUAAAUAAAAUAAAUGAAACGUGUAGUAUGCUACUUAUCUCUAAAAAAAAAAAAAAUACUAUGGUAGGAUUUGUUUACAAUCCCGACCCAAGUAAAAUGAAUUAAGAUUUGGCGUGGAUUAUUAGGGAUUUGCUGUAAGAAAGAACGAUAUACAAUUAUUUUGUUAUUUUGUAGGUGAUAUCCUAACAUGAAUGUACCAUUGUAAAAAAUUGAAAUAGUUCCAUAUAUAAGAUAUAAUAAGACUAAAUCUUUUAACUCGAUUAUAACAUUUUGAACGGUUGGUAAGUCCAAGAGGUUAAAAGGAUUAAUCGCGUUAGGACUAAAGUAGUUCUAUAAUAGAGGAUUUUUUUGAAAAGUGGGGCGUCACAGUUAGUAUCGUAGCUAAUAACCGACCAAUUAUGUAAAUGAGUUUCGACUGAAUUAGGGUCAUAUAUAAGUAGAGUGCGACUUUUUGAUUGAUGAUUAUUGUAGGAGUGCAACUCCCCACGAAAUUGGCUAAUGGUAGCGAGGGGAUGAGUCUCACAUCAUCGAGUGCUUCUGAAUGUGUUUGAGUUUGACGAGUACGUCAGGACUUAAAAAAAAAAGAAAUGUGACACUCUAAGAAUUUGGAAUAGAUCUACGUACAUAUAAGGUAUACUAGAAAUAACUCUCUUGACCCAAUAUAGUAUUUUGAACAAUAACUAAGCCUAAAAAUUAAAAAGGUCAAAUGUACUAAAUCUAGAGUAGUAUUAGAAUGGAUGCCCUCCCUAGAAAGAGGACCCUCAUAGUGCAUUCCACGAAUUAAAGCCGGUUAAAAUAUAAUUUCUAAAGUCUCGCCGAAAAACAAAGAAGCAUAUUUUAGUAUUCCUUCACUUUUAACUUUUUUUUCUACAAUUUUUGUUCUUCUAAUAGCGUUAGUUGUUGCUCAAUACCAAAUGAGCGCUUAGAUUUUGUUCGGAUGUUAGAAUAAAUUACGGAGCAAUAACCUAUAUACAAUAUUCCAAUGCAACUUAGUACCUUACCUUUUGUCCAUUCAAAAAUUCCCACAGUCAAAAAUUCUACAGGUAAGAAAUUCCACCAGCAUUAAGUUUUUCUUAUUACGAAGAAGUGACUAAGAAUCUACAAAAUCUAUACCUUUCUACAUGAGAAUUGAUAAUUUCAUAGCUAAAUUUGAUAUCGCAAUAUAUUAUAUCUGAUCAUAAUUUAGACUUUUUUGCUCCGACAAUAUCAAAAUUUAGUCAGAAAAUAUCAGUUCCCUUCUGCAAAGUUCUUGAGUAAAUCUCUAUAAAAAGGGCCAUAUCCUUUUCAACUAAAUUAUCUUUAGUGAAUCUAACUAAUAAGUACAUAACAAAUAUCAUUUCUAAACUGACCCAGGUGAUUCAUGCCUUCAUUUUUUUUAAUUCUCCCCCCCCCUCUCUGCUACUAACAACAAUUUAGCAUGCUCAUACACAGCUGUUCAUUGUGUAGACCCCCCAGAAACAAAUCGAAGUUUCCGGAACGACGAAGGAGCGGAGAAGCCCAUAGCCGGCACGACGGCAUACAGCACAUGACACUGCCCAGAUGACUCUGAACACUGCAGCAUAAAAAACUAAUCCAUGCAAGCUAAAUCUCCACAUUUAGGUCAAUGUAGAGGCUUAGUAUAAUAAUUCUCGGAUCCUGCGAGGAAUCGGAGUUCGAUACGGAGGUUUAAGAUCCGUCCAUCUUGCGGUUUUGGCCGUACCUCGAUUAAUUUACUGAGCAAUCAAGAGGCUGGAUUAACAAAAGGUUGUAAGAUUAAUUUAUCUAAUGUCAGUUCAGCUGCAACCACUACUGUAUCUCAAGAACAGUGACAGGUUUCAGCACCUGUAUUUUUAUGCCCUUGCUGUAACAACUAGCAGUACAAAAUUUGGGUUUCUGACAAGCAAUUGGUUUUCAGGCAGAGGCCAGGGGAUAUUUUUUUGAUUUUUUGGCUUGACAGGAGCUUUUGCAGAAGUGUUUUUUUGAUAUGAUCUGAAGAAGUCAAAAGCAGCAGUUAUUCAUUGAAAUUCUGUCAACAAAUUUUCGAUGCAUUCAAAGUAGAAGUUUUAAACCAGUAGCAUGGUUAAUGUGGGGAAGAUAAUAUAUCCAAUAAUAACUAAUUCAAUAUGAAUAUUUUUUUUCUGUGAUUGAAAAUAAGAAGUUUGAUUUUUAUCCUAUAAAAGACCUUGAUUUAAUAGGAUAGUAUAUCUCAUCUUUCAUUUAUCUCUUUCAUUUAUUCUUUUUAGAUAUAAACUUAGUUAAAAAUAUAAAGCAAUUAUGCUCCGAACUUAGGACCUCGGUUACUAACUAUCAAACUUUUUACCGCACGCGUUAGGGAUCGUUAACUACUCCGUUUAAGGCACCUCAUAGUUAGACCUGACAAUCUCUAACCGUACUCGUGGAUACCAGCGGGUUACCCACAAAUUUACAGGUAUAAGUAUUAAUUUUUCUUAUCCAAAAAAAAAGGGUAAAACGGAUAGGUACUGUUAAGUUCUAGGCAUUUUGGAUAAACCACGGGCACCCGCAUUUUUUUUUAAUUAAAAAUUAUAUAAUCUUUAUGAUAUUAACUCUAUAAUCAUGAAAAGUUUAUUAAUUUUCUAUCAUAAAAAUUUGAGAUGAUAAGAUACUUUUAUAUUAUGUAAUUUAUGCGCUUUAAUAUUUUAUAUUUUUUAUUGUAUAUUAUGAUAUUUUAAUAACAAGUUUUGUCAUAUUUUUAAAAAAUAUAUCUAUGUAUUUUGUAUUUGAAAAAUAUAGGAGCAAAAAACAAAAACAAAAACACUUAUGGUUACCAUACCCAGCAUCUGAACGGAUAUGGAUAAAGAUGUUGAUUACUUAAAAAUUUAUGAGUAAUUUUAUUUAUGUCCAUAUAACCCGCAGGUAUAAUGAUCUGCCCGUGUGUUACCCAAUCUACUCGUUUAUCAGGUCUACUCAUCACACCCCUCAUUCCUCAAGUAUUACAUGAUUUUAG